CGCCUCCAGUGAUCUCCGUUGUGGAUCUAACCUCAUCCGUAGGUAAGUCUCCUCCUCCACCUCUCCUCUCCUCCAAUGCCUCUGUAUCUCUUAUUCAUCUCAGAACCCUAACCCUAAUCAACCACGCAUGCAGCCGCAAGUCGGGGUCCUCCCCUUUGAUCAACCUGCAACUACGGCGACGCGCAAGGCAACCUCCAGGGCGAAGGCAAGGCGACUUCCUCUUUGCUGGCCAUGUCCUUCGACGUUCCCUCCUGUAAGUUCUCCUCUUUGUUUGUGAGGUGUCAGUGAGAUUUUUUUUCUUUUUUUGGUAACAAAUUCUUGCAUUAUUGGUGAGUUGAAUGGUUCCUUUCUCAAGUAUAGAUGUGAAACAUACAGUUGGUGGAUGAGUUUGUCUCACCAAAUUUAGAAAACUGAUGGCACAACAGACUUGUGAUUUUUUUUUCUUGUUAUUCCAGUGGAAUUUCUCACUUAUAGCAGUAUAGAAGCAUCAGUUCUAAACUCUAGAUCAGCCAACCUAUUUAUACACACAAGCCAACAUGAUAGUGGCUACGUUCUUCUUCCUCCUUAGGUUGUUCUUCUUUAGUUUUUGUGUGGAUUGAGCAAAGAUGAGCCAUGGAAUGACUUAUGGCAGAUGAUGGUUCGUGUUAGUUCUCUUUGUUUAAUUAGAUCCAACAUUCGUAUGUUUUGUGUUAAUUUGAUAUGGUCAUUUUUGAGGCAUCUUUAUAUGUUUUUUUUUUGUUUCUACUUCAUGGCCGUAAUAUCUAAUUAGCUAGUUGCUCAUAACUUUUUCUCUGUCCGUUAUAGUACUGGAAUUCUUAUGCAUCUACUAGUAAAAUCAACAUGCUGAAUGGCUAUUUCCUUGUGUUGGCAUACCAAACAUGGUCAUGCAUUGAUCUGUGUGGCAAAGAGCUCAUCUCAGAUUGCGCAUACUUGAUGUUUUGCAGAAUCCUCCACCCCCAAUCAGAGUAGGUGAGGGGGAACCUGCACCAUCCUGGAGUCCUGUUCCUGACCCUUAUAAUCUAAAGAGUGAAAGUCAACAAGGUGAGCACCUAUCCUGUACUGAAAGCUGAUUGCAUCUCCUAUUUUGUAGUACUAGCUAGUCGAUUGCAUGCUAGGCUAUUUUUUUAUUUCUGUAUUCUUUAUAGGUAUUGUAGAUGGCAGAUCUAUCUGUAGAGCUGUAUCAUGAGAGGAGGAAAAAAAGGAAAAGGGCAGCAGCCGGGUUCUUUGUUUCUGUAGCCGCAAUGGCUCAACAUAUCUAUUGUAGAAGAAGAAUUGUAGAGCUUGGAGACUUCAGUGAGGACGAGGCUGAUAUUAGAUAUAGGAAAUAUAUGCUUAGAAACAUCUAUGAGGGUCCUAAUCAAUAUUGUUACGAUACUCUACGGUUGACCAAACGAUACUUCUCUGACUUAUGUGCAUUCUUGCGUGAAAAGGCUGGUUUGAGAGACACCUACUAUGUGUCUGUUGAAGAAGACUUAACCAUUUUCCUCCUUGUUGUCGGCCAUGGCAUGAAGUAUAGGUUAAUCCGUAGCACCUAUAGGUGGACACUUGAGACAAUUAGUAGACACUUCAAUGAAGGAGCUAUCCUUUCCCUAUCUCGUGAAUUCAUCAAGUUGCCGGACCCUGCUACUGAACUACCCCAGGACAAUGUUUGGAAGUGGUUCCCAGAUAGGCUUGGAGCUUUAGAUGGCACACAUGUCAGGGUCCGUGUUGCAGCUCGCAAUCAAGGUAGAUAUAGGAAUAGGAAGCAUCAGAUAACCACAAAUGUGCUGGGUGUUUGUGACCGAAGCAUGAAGUUUGUGUAUGUAUUAGCUGGAUAUGAAGGUUCAGCAUCAGAUUCACGAGUGUUGCGAGAUGCAAUGCUAAGGCAAGAUGCUUUUAAAGUUCCAAGUGGUAAUUUUAUAUCUUUGUAUGAUCUUGCAUAACUUCCUAGCUGGUAGACAAAGAGAGAUGGAUUACAUAAUGUUAGAGCAAGUGGGCAAUGAGAUAAACAAUGCUGCCAUCGAAGACCAAGAUGGGCAUGAUACGAUUAGGCAUGUUGAGUCAACUACCGUUUGGAACAAUUUUAGAGAUACCUUAGCUAAUCAGAUGUGGGUAGAUUAUCAAGCUAGGAGAGCAAAUGCUUGACUUCGAUUGAUUGUUGUAUAGUCUUUUUUUUAAUAUAUACUUGGUAUGUUUCAUAUCUGUCAAAUUUAGUUAUUCUCUCUCUUUCUUAGUUGCUGCCACUAAAUCUCAUGAUAUUCUUGCUAUUGUAGGUAUGGAGUCUGGGAAAAAGGAGGUAGAGGCUACCUAACUUGGUCGGAUUCAAUGGACAAAGCUUUGUUGGAUGUCUUUGUUGAACAUUACAACAAGGUAGAUCGUGCUCAGAAUCAAUGGAAACCUCAUGUGUACACAACUGCUGUCAAGAAUGUGAUAGAGAAGUGUGAAAUGAAAAUUACGAAGGAGAAUAUUAUAUCAAGGAGCAAAACUUUUGACAAGUACCAUGCUAUCAUAAGAAAGAUGCUCUCUCAGAGUGGUUUUGGUUGGGACUGGGACAACAACAAGAUCUCUGUUGACAGUGAUGAUGUAUGGAAUACUUAUGUCCAGGUAACAUUUCUUCACGAUCCAUCUUCCCCACAUUCAGGGCUAAACCUUCAUGAGCUCAUAUUUUUCAAAAUACUGAACCAAAUGACAUGAAACUUUUCGAGAUAUCAUGAUUAGUCAUUUAUAACUUUGUGGAUUUUUUUAGAAUUAUCUGGAAAGUUAGAAAAAACUGUCAAAUUUGGUCAAAUCAAGGCUGAACCUUCGAAAGCUCAUAUUUUUCAAAAUACUAAACCAAAUGAGCUGAAACUUUCCCAGAUCUCAUGAUUAGUCAUUUAUAACUUUGUGGAUUUUUUUCAGAAUUUUCUGGAAAAUUUCAAAAAACUGUCAAAUUUCGGUCAAAUCAGGGCUGAACCUUUGAAAGCUCAUAUUUUUCAAAAUACUGAACCAAAUGACAUGAAACUUUUCCAGAUCUGAUGAUUAGUCAUUUAUAACUUUGUGGAUUUUUUUAAAGAAUUUUCUGGUCAAAUAUCGGCCAAAUUCAUGUUUUCAUUUUAUUUUGACCGCAUCAUACUUGCAGCAGCAUCUCCUUAUCAUAUGCUUCAUUUGUUGUUAUUUUCAGGCAAACAAAGAUGCAGCUUCAUAUCGACACAAGACUAUUAAGUUUUGGAACAUGAUUAGCUUAGUCUACUCGAAGGAUCGUGCUAACGGAGCUGGAGCUAGGACUGCAGCUGAAAGUGCAGCAGAAAGGCUGCGGAGAAUGGUAACAACAGCAAGGACACUGACGCUACCUCAUCCACUCAAGUCGAUGGAGAUCGAAAGAAGAAAAGGUAUAGAUCAGAUGACUCUAUUGCUUCCAUGCUUUGGUGAGAAACUGGACAACUUCAUUGCUGCUUUUCAAGCUGAUGUGUGCGAGCCCUCUCUAAAACUUGCAUCCCCUGAAGAAAUCCUAGCUGCUCUUGAUGCAAUACCAGGAUUGGGUGAGGAUGAUGGGCUAGCAACUUACGAUAUUCUUGUUUCCAAUGACCGCAAGUUCAAGUCCCUUCAAGCCUUGCCUGAUGGAAUGAAAAAGAAGUGGAUCUUGAAGCAAGUCAAUCCGUAGGAUCUUCCUUGUUGAAUCGAAGCAAAGUGUGAGACCCCGAGACUGAAUUUAUGCAAUUUAGCUCCAAAUGCUAACUUGCGCAUAAAUCAAGUCCCAGUGCCUCCCUACGAUGAUACUUGGUUGUUUGUGAAACUUGAUUGUGUUUUGUGAAGUUGUAGCCUCUUCUCUUUCAUACCUCACUUGUGAACCAACUACUUUCUAUGUAUGAGCAAGUUGAGAACUUAACAAUCUUGGUAGCCUCUGGAGUUAUAUGUGAAUCUGAAUAUUGCAUUUUGUGUUAUGAGUUUAAGUUUAUGUGCUGCGACUAAGCAUAAUAAAGGUCUGAAUUUUUAAUAUUGCAAAGUUCAAGUUGAAAAUGGCAGCCAAACAGGGUAAAUCAUAAUACUGGGCUGAAUUUUUAAUAUUACAAAAGUCAUGUUGGAAAUGGCAGCCAAGCAGGGGAUGGAAUUCAUUUCAUUUUAUGAAUUCAUGUGGUAGCUAAACAUGAUUUUUGAAUUUGGAAUUCAUUUCAACCAAAUGAAAUCCUGUGGAAAAUUUGAAUUCAUUUCAUUUCUACCAAAUGUGUGCAAGUGUGCAACUUCAUAGGUUGUAAAUUUUGAAAGCCAAAAUCCGCACAUUCGAUGAUUUUUCACAUUUUUAAACUCGUUAUUGCACAUAAUAUAUCUUUGCAUAACUCGAUGGAUGGCAUAAUCUUAAGCCCAAAAUUUCACAUUACCAUUUCUUGUGUAAUUUUGGAGUGUGUGCUGGACUGACCGUAUUUUUAACUCUUUCAUGUUUUUUUUGCCAACUACUUAAUUUUAUUUGAUUUGUAAUUGUAAUUUUUCUAGUUGCGUGCGGGUUUCAACUGCAAAUUUUUUAAUGUUGCACCCGUAUCUUUACUUAUUGCAUGGGGUUGCAACCGUAAUUUUUUCAGUCCUGACUGUAAUUUUCUAUGUUGCAUAGGGUUGCAACAGUAAUUUCUCCUUGCACAACAAUAAUUUUUUCAAUUGCACCGUAAUUUCUUUAAAAAGGGAGGAAGGAAAAAGGCAACAAAAAGAAUAAUUAUAAAAAAUUUAAAUGUUGCAAGUGAGAUUUGAGGUGCAAUUUUAGAACUGGAGAUGAAAUUUUAUGCGCAAUUUUAAAAUUGCACGUGAAAUUUUUAUGCGAAUUUCUAGAUGAUUGUUCCCGAACAAAUUUGUUAUCCUGUUGCAUGUUUCUUCCAGUCUCUUGUGUUUUAUGCACGUGAAAUUUAUACGUUAUGUACAUGAUAGCCAGUUCUUGAUGGAUUAAUUCUACAUAAGCAUGCACAAGAUGGCUUAGCGUGGAGUUUUUUUUUCAGUCGUACGUGCAUGCUGAUUGAUUUCCGUCCAAAGCCAGCUGAUUGAUUUGAAGCAGACGAGCCAAUAUCAACGUUUAGUUAUUUACGCUAGCUAAGGGGUAUCGACUGAGAUUCUAAAAAGCUCAGUCCCCUGAUCUGUAGCCACUCCCAUAUUAUUUCUAUUUUUCCUAAAUUUCCCUUGGUGCCGUUGUAGAUUUGUAGACGAGCCAUCAUCCCUUUUUAAUUCUUCGUGUCUUGUUUUUUCUAUCAAGAUGAAGCUGCACCUUUAUUAAGCAAGUAUAGUUGACCGACAAAUUUUUGGUCAAAAAAAAAAGUUGAUCGAGAAAUUUGAUCAGACAGACGAACCAAGAAAAACUAAACUAGCGCGUCGCGGUAUACGCUUUGACGGCACGCGCGAACGAUGUGAAGUCGUCGGAGUCGCGCGGGUCAGCAGGUUCGCGUGGCACGCGCGGCAGCCCGACGGACAGCGUCAGACCGCGAACCGUACGCGCCCCAUCUUUCCCGGGAAAAAUCUACUUUCAGGCUGUCCUGCGCACUUUGGUGUUAAACCGGCGGACCUCUCUGACCCGUCGGAUAGAUGUGUAGCGAAGACGACAGCAAUGUUUUCUUUUCUUGUUUUCCCGCGAGGAUUUUGGAAGCUCCAACAGUCGUAGAUGAGACAGGGCUAAUCAUUCGGCACGGACCUCAACCCGGCUGGCUGGCCAGCCGUUCAAAGCACACAGUAGUGGUACCACAAUUCAAAGGCUCGCGCGCCCCCCUGAAGCCCGACGCGACGCCAUGAUGCCGCCUUGGACCCCGAAGGCCGACGUUGGCCAGCCCAGCCAGCCAGCUCGCCGGCUUAGGGGCUAGAGCAGCAGGCAGACAUGAGUCGCUACUGCAGAAAGAAUUAUCAGUAACGGUCGAAAAACAACAUCAGUAACGGUCGGUGCCGUCGUUGCUAACUUCGUGUUACUGAUGAUGGGUAUCAUCGGUAACGGUCGCUCCGACCGUAACUGAUGUAUAUAUCAUCAGUAACGGUCGCGUUGCCACAUUAGUGUCGGUGGACCGACACUGAUACAUUUUCGGUAUUUAAAAAAAAAUUAAAACCACAGAAAAUACAUAGAAUUGUAUAUACAUCACAGCAUAUAAAAAUACAUAUAAAGCCGCAUCACAUCACAUCACAGCACAUCACAUCACAUCAUUUAAACCAUACAAAUGUAUAUAAAGCCGCAUCAUUUAAAACAUAUAAAGAAUAUAAAAGUAUCUCACUUCACGACAUUGAUUACAAAGUGUCAAAAUUUCAUAAAAGCAUAAUUAUAAGGUGUCAAAAUUUCAUAGAAGCAUAUAAAGAAUACAAAUGUAUCUCAUUUCAAGUUAGGUCCUAAUGUUGUGGGUGAACCCUAGACACCACUUGUUCUACGCGUUCGUAGAAGUCCCCACUAGGCUUGAUGACCUCAUUGUUGAUGAGAUGGGCGAACUCUCUUUGAAUGCUAUACACAACCCAUUUAGGUCGGUGUCCCAUUGUCAUUUGGGGCCACAAGUAUUCUUCCAUCGCCGCGACUGACCCCUUCCACUCAGGCUUGAACAUGCUGGCAUUCUCCAUAAGAAUGUGACAGCAGUAGUAGCCACAGAACACACUGCCGGGCGGCUGUUGCUGGCAAGGGACCUGUGGUUGUGGUAAGGCUCGUCUUUAUACCCUUUACCAGCUAGUUUUUCCUUGGUCGCCACUUUCCAGACAGUGUUAAUGAGUGAUUUGAUGGGUUUCCAGAACCUACCUCGAACACUCUUCUUCGGAAGUAGUGAAUCAAAGUAGUACACUACGGACCAAGAAAAACAAAUGGGUAGUGUGACACAAUGGUCUCUGUUUUAAAAAAAAAAUUAGUAUCUAAGGGUGUAUAAGAAAGACUGAAUUAGAAAACACAAACGGUUCCAUAUAUAUUGAACUUACUCGAAAUUAAGGAAUAAGAGGGUAAAGUCGUGGUCCGCGUAUUUCUUGAGACAUGCCACCAAGUAUUUAGAUGCAAGGGUUCUUGAGGCAUCAUUUUCUGGCUCAAGACCGAUGUCACCGUAGUUGAACAUCGCGGGGUCUAGAAUGGCUACUUUUUUUACCUCCAUUCGCCGCAGUUCUCUUAUUUGGUAGGCAGACCACAGCUUUAAGAGGUUGAUAUCAAACUUUUGGCGGUUGAAGAGGUGGAACAGUUCGUUGAACUCCACGCCAAAGGUGAUAGGACGUUCCUGAAUGUUGCCGGUUUCUUGGUCAAAGAAGCCAUAGUCUUUUGGGAUUCGAACAUUGAUCUGUUGGGCAUGCUGUUGAGAACCAGCUGAUGCUUGCAUGUAGAACUGAUGAAGCUCUGGCAUCUCUUUGGACACGGCACGGAGGGAAUCUUCGGUGACCAUCGGUCUUCCAGGAUAGUAAAUAAGUACCCGGUCAAACUCUCUAGCCACGAAAUAGGAUCCGUCUUCGAAUCUCUGGCCUUGACGGGGGUUCUUUAUGAGAAUGUCAGGCCUAUUGUCCUCCCAGACUCCAGUUAUGUCAGGCACAUAGUGCAUCUCAUCUUGAGUGACAUUGGAGAACUCCUUGAUGGUCUUGCCGCCGCGCCCCCUCUUUUUAUGCCUCCUCUUAUUGUCCCAUGCCUUCUGCUCCUCUGCCUUGUACUUCUCAUCGAUCUUGUGGCCACCCAUGGACUCAGCGGCACCCAAGAGAGAGAAGGCAGGAAGGACGCUUCCAGCCUAUGCCGACCCUGUGGUCUGGCUAUCUUUGAGCUGUGCAGGCAUCCACAUUGUCCGCUCUUCAUCUCCGCCGGCAUCGACAGGAGGAAGUAUCCUAGAGGAAAGGCCGAGCGGCGAAUGAGAAGUACCUUUGUGGGCGGAGGGAGAUGGAGUCAUAGAGGGCCGGCGCUGGUUGUAGAGCGAUAAUGCGGUAGUUUGGACAACCGCCUAAGAUAUCCACGCCUUCCUUCGGUGGUAGCGGGAUAGCAUAAUCCCAAUGCUCCUCGACGACGGAGUCCACCAUCACACUCACUUGUGCGUCAUUCAUAAGAAUGCCGUGCACCAGUGGCGGUGAUUGUCUAGGCAUCAGACGGCCAAUGGCGCCUACAGGCUUUCCAGGCUUGUCAACGAAGAUACGACACUUCAUCAGUGCCUGGGCGUAACAAGAAGAAGGCAUGUGUGUGUAAGACUUUAUUCAUGAAGAUAAGGAGUGAAAAAGAGUUUGAAAAGUAUGCUUACAAGGAUGUUAUCGCUCGGACCCGGAUCGUUAUCUCGGAUGCCCUCGCUUGGGUCCGGUUGGCUAGCAGGGGGGUUGUCCAUGCUAGGAGCCAGGCUGUAACCUGGGGUGUAGGUGUCUUCGUCGUCCAUACGUGUGUCGAAGGCGGCGCUGCUCUUCAGUGGGGUGCUCUUUCGCGGGGGAAGAGGAGGAAGAGGAGGAAGGAGGUUCCUCAAACUUUCCACUCCUCCCCCGAGUAUGGCGUCAAGGGCGGGGGGGUCUUUGGCCAAUGCCGACACCAAAUGAUGGACGGCUUGCACUGCAUAUUCUCGCGAAACCUCUUGAGACACGAUAGAUGACUGCUCUCCGCCUCCGCCUUAGCUUGUUCUAUUAUUUCAGCAGAAGCGGGGAGCUUUUUCUGAACCCUGCUUCGCUUCGGAGCAGGCAGGAAAUAAUCAUCACAGCAGGCCCCUUCGCCUUCCCCUAGAACACGACCCGUGUGCUCCGCCUUUUGCAAGCCGGCGGUCACAGCCGACUCCCACCUCUUGCUCUACACGGAGUUGUCGGAGGUUUCUGACCUCUUGCUCUCCUCCCAUUUGUGGGCAUUUUCCUGUUAUCAUAUAAGACAGGACGUGAGUCUAUAUGGAUCAGGAGUGUCAUAAUUAACGCCGAAAACAAAUAAAUGCACGUGAACCCUUACCGUAAAAAUUUUAACAGGCGGCUGCAUUGGCUCAAUGCCCGCCCACUCCUCGGGUGUCAUGUGCUGACGUGCAUAUUCUCUAGCACGUUGGUCCUCCAGCAUGUCAUGCACCGGAGACACCCUGCCUGCCGCCUCGAGAAUUCGGUCCUACUUGUGCCAGACCUUCUUCUCCCCCUCUUUCCCUGCACUCCCUAGCCUGUGGUUAAAGGACUUCCUCGCGCGCAACGCCCUCAUACGUUCACUCUUCGCAAUGAAGGCAGGGUCAGACGAUUUCUUCUUGAAUUUUUUCCAUUCGGCCUCAUCAAUUACCGACGGCCAUUUCUUCUUGAUGAUCUCGUAGGGUUUGUCCAUCCACUUUCUAGCGGUGGUUUUCCAAUUAGCAAGUCAUUGCGCACUGCUAUGUUGACGGCCGCUAGGAAUCGUUCGCGCCACUCGUCAGUGACUUGGAACCUCGCAACGUCCGCGAUGCAGGUGUUUCUAACGACUUCGGAGAUGUCACUCCACUCGUCGGUGAUCUUGCAAUACUUACGUGCAACGGCUCCACAGGUCGUUGCGAAGGCCUUUUGUGCCCUGUUAGGCAACUCCGGGCGGCCUCUCUCAGAGUGCCGGGUGACCACGUAACAGAACUCCUUCAAGUUGUGGCUCCCCCUCGGCGUCUUCUUCCUUGGCUUCUUAGCGGGAGUUUCAGAAGGCUGCGGGUUACUCUCUUCCACCCGUUGCUCGUUGUCGCGCUCUUCUGAACGAGAGCUACCUGAGCCAAAGCUGGCAAUUUGCUCUCCCGAUGAAGACUCUUCAUCGACACGAUCUACCUCUUCCCGAUCAAGAACUGAUUUCUAGCUACUCUUGCCCAUUUUGUACCUAUGCCAUCAAAACCAUCAAAUAUAUAUCGGCCGAAAAUUUCAGCAUGACCUAUACUAAAAAACUAGCAAUUUUUCUCUACUAGGAGCUCGAAACCUGCAUAAAAACCCCACCCGCAUAUGUACCCCCUCGGCACGAUGGCCGGCCCCUUCUCCAAUGACCCGACAUGAUGGUCGGGCCCACAAUUCACAUAAAUGAAACACUUGGUGUAUAUAGCUAAAAUCAUAAGUAAACAGCAUGUAUAUGGCUAAAAUCAUGCUCUUUCUGAAAUUAUGUUGAGCUAAAUUUAUGAACUGUAUCACGCAAACAUGUAUAUUGCAGCAUCUAAAUUAUGUAGAGCUAUAUAUAUAGCUAAAAUCAUAAACAUGUAUAAAUCAUACUCUUUCUGAAAUUAUGUAGAGCUAAAUUUAUGAACUGCAUCACGCAAACAUGUAUAUUGCAGCGUAUAAAUUAUGUAGAGCUACAUAUAGCUAAAAUCUUAAACAUGUAUAAAUCAUGCUCUUUAAUUCAAAUCAACAAGGAGCACAUCAUACAAGGAUUAGGAGCACAGGAGCACAUCAUACAACAUUUGUAAUUUCAGUGAACCCUAACACUUGUAAACAGGGGCAGAAGCAGCAAUUCCUAACCCUAACAGUGAACCCUAACACUAACCCUAACCCUAACAGUGAACCCGAACCCUAAAAUUCAACCUAACCCUAACAGUGAACCCUAACCCUAACAGUGAGAGGGAGGCAGAGGGAGCGCGCACCUUGUGGGUCGAGGAAGACGGCUCGGUGGCGUGGGGUCGACGGCGGGGAAGAGGAAGACGGCUCGGUGGUGCGGGCUCGGGGGCGGCGGAGGAAGACGGCUCGGGGCGGAGGAGGAAGACAGCAAGGAGGUCGCGGGCGAGGUCGACGGCUGCUCCGGGCGAGGACGACGAGGCCGUCGGCGGCGGGCUCCGGUCGAGGACGGGGAGGCAAGGGCUCAGGGUGGAGGAGGAAGACGGCGCGGAAUCCGGCGCGGGCUCGGGGCGGAGGAGGAAGGAGGCGAGGACGAGGCCGGCGGUGGCGGGCUCGGGGCAGCGCGCGGGGUCGACGGCGGCGGCGGCGCGAAAAUUGGGCAGAGCUUCGUAGGGUUAGCGGGGCGCCCACUGCUGGUCUCUCGGUUAGGGGAGGACGCGCAGGCGAGAAUGAGACCCGACCGUUUUGGCGUCUUCUCUUAUAUACCCUACGUACAUCAGUAACGGUCGGCUCACGAGCGGGUAAGGGAGCCGACCGUUACUGAUGUGCCUAUACUCAUCAGUAAUGGUCGCGCUAGGAUGCGACCGCCACUGAUAAGCUCUUGUGAGCAAUGCCCAAUCACUCAUCAGUAACGGUCACGCUGCUGUGCGUGCGACCGUUACUGAUGAUUAUACUUACUAGUAUUUCAACUUUGAUGAAAAAAUUCAUGCAUUCGUCUAAUAUUUGUACACCAUAUCAUGUCUUGUGUCGUAUUUGUACACCACAUCAUGGAAUCCACUAGUAAUCUGUGCUAAAUUAAAUUCAAAAAAUUCAUCACAUGCAUACACAAAAGUACAUGGAUCACACAUAAUUUCACUUAGUACAAAGUUUGCAUUAAGAUUCAGUACGAGUACAUUACAAUGUGACUACUAGUGCUUCUCCUUUGGUAAGUCAUAACUUGACUCCUCACAGAACUGCUUCUGAGGUAGGGUUUUUGUGGUAUUUUCUCGCUCUCGCUUCCAUCACUUCUUCUUUUCCCUCUCCUUUUCCUCGUUAAUAUCGUGCGUUCCGCUUCUUCGUCAUCUGCGGCGGUCGUCGGAUCAUGGAAACCUUCGUAGUCUUCUUGUGAAGUAACUCCGUCCACUCCAACAAUGCUUCUUUUCCCUCUUAUUACUACGGCGCGGCCUUUAUUUGCUGGGUCGUCUAUGUAGAAUACCUUCUUGCAUUGUUUAGCAAAGACCCAUGGUUCCUCUCUUGCCAGGAUUUUUCUCACAUCAACUUGUUCAUGAGGGAUCUCAGGAGGUAGCACCAUCGUCAUGAACCUGUGACUUUCUUCUUUGUCACCUUUGGUCCAUCCUACACGGAACAUUGGGAUCUUUGUGAUCGAGUAUUCCAAUUCCCAGAUCUCCUCGAUAGCACCGAAGAACGCUUUGGUUUUGCUGUUGUCGUCGGUCGCGGUCUCAGAAGUCAUGACUACACCACUAUUUUGAUACGUGCUUUUACGGUCCUGAGACGCAAUGUAGAAGUUAUAGCCGUUGAUCGCAUAUGAUUGCCAAGUAGAGACGUGGUAAGCAGGUUCUCAUGACAAACAUGCAACCGUCUCUUCUGAUACAUUGGUCGUCUCCCUGCCGUACCAAUAAUUCUUCAGCCACGCUGCGAAUGUUUUAUUGUGCUCCCGGUGGAUCCAGACUUCUCCUAGUUUAGGGUUUUCAUUUCGCAGUUGUUCCAUGUGCAUUUCCUGAUAAGGCCGGCAACAAUCGACAGUUGCAACACAACCAAAUGUGCUCUUUCAAAGUCAGCUUCCUCUUACAUAGACAUUAAGGUAUGUAUGUCCAAGGCCACCUUCGUCAUUGAGCUUGCCCUUGUGUCGUGAUUCGGGAACACCUAUUGAUUUCUGAUCGGCCAACCAAUCCGUGCAGAACUAGAUGCACUCUUCUACCCUAAAACCUUCCACGAUGCUACCUUCCGGACGCGAUCUGUUACGAAAGUAGCGCUUCAGAACCCCGUUGUAUCGUUCAGGGCCAUACAUGUUAUGCAGUAACGAGGGCCCUAGGGACAAGAUCUCAUCGCAUAUAUGGAUCAUUAGAUGGACCAUGAUAUCGAAGAUUGAUGGAGGGAAGAACAUCUCGAGCUCGCACAGAAUCUAUAUCAUACUAUCCUUCAGUAUCUGACAUUGUCUAACGGUGAGAUCUGCGAGAUGCUGUCAAAGAAGUCUGCGAGAUGCUGUCAAAGAAGUCAGAAAGCUUCAUGAUUGUCUCCCUUACGUGCGGCUCUAUGAUACCUCUGAUUGCAACCGGAAGUAACUGAGUGAGUAUGACAUGGUUCUCGUGAGACUUCAUGCCAGAUAGCUUGUGACUCUUCAUGUCAACUAGAUGCUUGAUGCUCGACGAGUAGUUCGAUGGGACUUUAAUGCCCUGCAGGCACUGGCACAUCCUAUGCAACUCGUUUUUGUACCGGUUGUAACAUGCAAGACGACACCGCGUGGUCACCGUCACGAAACCAUUCAUGUCGGCUGCCGACAUUUGAUCUUUGCCCCACAACUCUUUUCUGAUAGACAUGAGUUCCAGGUCCUUCCAUGCAUUGGGUCCAUCUUUCAUCUUCUCUGAAAUGUUCAUCAGCAACCCCAGCACGCUGUCGCAUACAUUUUUCUCCAUGUGCAUGACAUCUAUGCUGUGGCGGCAUUCUAAAUGUGCCCAGUACUCCAGGUCACAGAAUACGGACCUCCUUUUCCACACGACGCCUUCAGGUUCCUUAUAUUUCUUCGCAGCAAUCUUUCCAGGGACAACUUCAAGAUCGUUCACAAUUUCGAGAAUUUGCAUACCAGACUUCUCCUUCGGCGUUGUCCUGUGCUCCGUCUUCCCAUUGAACCUUUCCUUAUCAUCUCUCCAAGGGUCUUUAGCAUCCAACCACUUUCGGUGGCCCAUGUAAACAAUUUUGGAUGAAACGGGCAACUUCUCCGAUGUCGUGUUUUCCCCGCACUUUGUACAUGCCUUGUAGCCAUGUGUCACCUGGCAUGAAGUAUUUUCAUUCGCGGGGUAGUCAUGCACGCAGGUCAGAAGCGCUGCUCUCAUCGUGAAGUACCCCCUCCUGUUUGCGUCCCAAACCACUCUGCCAGGGUUUCAAAGCUGCUUCAGCUCAUCCUUCACUAGUUGCAGAUACACAUUUAGGUCAGCUCCCGGUUGCUUUGGACCCUGUAUGAGCAUGCACAUGUGGAUGUACUUUCUCUUCAUGAUUAACCAUGGAGGAAGGUUGUAGACAAACAAGAUCACUAGCCAUGUGUUGUGCUUGUUGUUCAUGUUUUCGAAAGGAUUUAUCCCGCCAGUGCUGAGACCGAGCCUCAGGUUUCUGGGCUCUGCCCUGAAAUCAGAAAAUGUCGUAUCGAAGUUUUUCCACCGAGUCCCAUCGGCAGGGUGUCUUAGGACCCCAGCUUCCUCCACACGGUAAUGCCCGUCAGGAUCGAAUGCAGCCUGCGCCGGAUCGUGAUGGACGAGAUACCUCGCGUCCUUAACAUUCUGCGUCCAAGGCUCAACUCGGCCACCUGCCGUAAGAUACCAAAGAGUCUUUGUCGGCCUGCCCUUCAUCACUUCUUCCCCAUUGUCUUCGCCAGCUCUGGCGUUUUUCUUCUUGUAUCUCGAUGCACCGCAUAUGUGGCAGCUCUCAUGGUUCUCGUACCCUCCAAUGUAUACCAUGCAAUCGUUUGGACAUGAAUGAUGUUUCACGCAAUCUAAUCCAAGCGGGCAUAUAAUCUUCUUCGCCUCGUAUGUGCUCUUGGGCAACUUGUUUGAGUCUGGAAAAACCGAAGCAAGGUAACUCAACAAGUUCGUGAAGCCCUUGUCUGACCAGCAUGAUGCUGCCUUCAGCCUCAAAAGUUCGAGUACCACUUCGAGCACGUUGUUUUCUUCGUCAGCUCCAUCAUACAAAGGUGUGUUUGUGUCCUCUAACAAUUUUUUGAACUGAGCAGACUCUGCCUCAUCUUCGGGGUCCUCCAGCUGGUCCUGUAGGUACAGAUCAUCCAGCAUUUCGGCAAUCCUGCCACGUGGAGCUCCUUCACCUUCCACAUUAACCUCCUCAUCAACCCUUGUUUGUUCUUCGGAAUCAUUCGCUAGAUCAUACUGCAAGACAUCAUCAUCUUCGCUACCGCUACCGACAUCAACCGCAUCCUCCCGUGACAAGUCCAGCGAGAAUAACCUUCCACAAAACCCGAUGCCAGCACGUGCAUCUGAACAUCUUCAGGUUUUAUGAACAACGCAUCAUCACAAGUCCUUUUCGUUCCAUAUCACCUUUCGCGACUCGAAAAAAGACAGUCCGUUCGGUUAUCCAUCGAGCAUUGAUUCUUUCCUUGGCGUACAUCCAAGAAUGGUCCUUCGAUGUACAACACAAUACACAAGAAAACAAACAAAGCAAAAUAGUUAGCCUAAUCAACCGGAGCUAACUAAAAAUUUGAAAUUAGAGACAUUCGGAGAGAAAUUGGAGGCUGGCGAGAAAGAUCGGAAGGGAGAGAGAGCUCACAAGGGAGAGGGAUGCUCCGAGCGACAACGAGGAGGCCGCAUUUUGGCCGGCGGCCGAAGCUCAAAAAUUUGAAAUUGGGGAAUUUCGGAGAGAAAUUGGAGGCCGAUGAGAUAGAUCGGGCGGGAGAGAUAGAUCGGGAAGUAGAGGGAAGCUGCGGGGUCGAGAAUCAGAGCUCGCCGGCCGCCGGAGCUCCAAAAAUGGAAACAGCGGCAUGGAAACGGCCGGCGGCCGGCCGGCGCAGGGGGGCGGGAGAUGGAAGGGGGAGAGAGGAGGGGCUACCUGGGGGGCUUGCCGGCGGCCAUGGCGCCGUCGGGCAGCGCUUCGCCGUCGCCGGAGAAGGAGGGGCCGCAGCUGGUCCGUUACGACGCGCAGCGCGACCAGCUGCGGUUCUGUUCUUCGUAUUUAAACCGCGACGAUCAUCAGUGACGGUCAGGAAUUGGGCGACCGUUACUGAUAAUAGUGGGUACAUCAGUAAGGGUCGCGUUAGGGCGACCGUUACUGAUGCGUGGUUCAUCAGUGACGGUCGUCUCUUAACCGACAGCCACUGAUGUAUCUCGCGAGGUAUGAUGGUUCAUCAGUGGCGGUCGCCUCGCACGACCGCCACUGAUGUAUGGCUGGGCGGGGACGAGCAGACCCCGCUCUGUUCAUCAGUAACGGUGGCGCCGGACCCGUUACUGAUGUGCCGUUGCAUAUAGAUCGUUUUGUACCAGUGAGUUUGAUCGAAAGGAGAGAGAGAAGAGAGAACAAUCCGAGAUCCAUCAUACCCGUCUUUAAACUUUGGUUUCUUCUGUCUAGGGGCAAGCGAGGAAAGCGGGCUAGGAGUAUAAAAGAUCCUGAGACCAAGAUCCAUGCAUGGCGUGGCCACGAGCCGCGCACCCGGUCGGUCAACAGAGGCCAUGAUGCAUUGGGGCAUCCGUGCAUUGUUUCCAAACUCCCAUUAUGAUCUUCGGGAACCCCAACGUGUAACACCCCAGGAGUAGCUAGCUAGCUAGCAGUACGAAACUUUUCGGUCCCGGCCUUGUUUUCGAAUUUAAAAACGAGGCCGAGGUUCGAUCGAGUAACGUGUGUGCCGAUGGGAAGAGAGCGAAUCCAACGCGGUGCCGUGCGCGCGCGCCUAGCUACUACAUUGCAUGCGUAUAUCGAUGGAUGGAUGCACGUACGCCCGUAGUCUGCUGUUGUUGGAUGGGUCGGGUCGGCGUGCAGGAUGAUGAUUCGGCGCAUUUCGUGGCGUCCAACGAAGAUACUAUCGCCACCGGACGGAAACCGUGCCGGAUCGGGCGUCAUCAUGCCUCUACGCCCCGCCAGGCGCCAGCACUCGAUUAGCCCCUCACGGCGCGCGCACCCAACCCAACCCAACCCAACCCAGCCCCCAGCAGCGCACGGGCUACUACGCGCGCAGACGAGACGAGAGAAGAGCCGUAUCGGAGCGGUCACUCGCUGGCGCGUCCCUCCCCAUAGGAUCCCAAUGACACACGCGCGAUCGAUCAUGCACGUUGUUGCGUGCGUGCAUGAAUUCCCGGGCGUGGGCUCGCGACCGCGCGCGGCAUAAUAGCCUGCCUGCUGCGCUGCGUGCGAGCAUCAAAUCGAAUGGAAGACCGGCCGGGUGCGUGGAUGGAUGGCCUAGUGGUAAGCAAUAGUGGCGCCGUAUGCGACCAUGAGUACAAUAUUCCUAUACUUGCUGCAGCAAGCAGUAGUACUAGUAUAUCCGCAUGAGCGAGGCGGGGCGCACACCGGCCCAAUCACACGGAAGAUCGCUGCUGUGUUGUUGGCUUGCCUCGGCGCGAGGACGACAUGAUGGCGGCGAUGAUGAUGAUGAUGCAUCGAUCGCCCAGGGAGGGGAGGGGUCGAGGGGAGCGCUUCCGUUCCGACAGCUGCACGCCUUCGCGGGGAGUGUGCGCCCUCGACGUGGUUUUACGGUAGGGUUCACUGUGCCCGGACAAUAAGACCGGAAAUGAUGGCACCAUCCAUACGCUUAUUUAAUUACUCCCAGCAGUACUCCCGUUGAACCGCUACAGAGGCGGAGGCGGUGCUCAAGUAGGCUGCCGCAAUUCACCCAUGACAUGCCCGGGCCGUACCACCUCGAAUUACUAGCGUACAUGUCAAAUAGUCAAUUGGGUGGGCUGAAGAGAGAGUACUUCUUUCGUCUCGUAUAAAUUUAUAUUACAUGUAUCUAAAUGUUUUGGAGACAUCAAUACAUUCAUAUUUGGAUAAAUUUGCGUCACCUGAUAUGAGACGGAGGAGGUAGGCAUUGAUCAAUAAGCGCUCCGUCCGUUUGACCGAGUCCGACUUAGGCCUGGUGCUAAUAGGCGGAAAACCAGACCAUAUCCAAACCAAUCCAGGAGACCAAACACGAGUCUUCCUAAUCCAAGGCAGACCAAGCCACAUUUCAUCUCCAACCACACCAGACCAAACCGAAUGUACCAAAAUGGUUUGAGAAACAACAUCGAAACCAAAAUAAGGACUGGGUUCAUGUGCGCCUUUGUGGUUGUGGCUGUGUCGGUUAUGUCAGGCGAUCACUUGCACUGCAGCAAUGUUCUGGUGCAAUAAAUUUUUACCGAGAACACAGGAUUUGAAAUAACAAGAGAAAUACCCCAACAUGUAUAGUAAAAUCACAUGAUCUAGUAACAACUAAUGAAAAGGACAAAAAAGAGAACAUUCCAUGGUGUAAAUUACAUUCAUUCAAACAUUACACGAUUAGUGAAUCAGAUUUUGACUAACCUACUUCACACUCAAAUAAAUUGCAUUCAUUCAAACACUACACAGUUCUUCAAAGAACUAAAUAACAAAAAUCUCCUCCACUUUGCAACUUAGCUUCUUUUGGUGGCGAGCAAAAGCUACAGUUUUCUCCACCACUUGAUCACCAUCUUCUAGUUUGGAUCAUUCUCACCCAUGCAACAACACUUGGAUCAAAACUUCCAUACCGUUAGAACAGGAGCAACAUUUAAUUGUACAAAAUUAAAAUUAGCUUGUGAUGAAGCAAGUAUAGCAAGAACAGAGAAAAACUUGAUUGGCUUCUACACAAAGAACAAGAGCAAGGUCAUAAUGCAGCAGCAGCAACGCCAUCUUUGUUUAAGUAGUUUUAUGUCACUCAUAUACUAAAACUUAAUAAAAUGCAAUGCAUAUUUAUAAAACAACACUUUCAAGAAGGAGACAUAGGUUACUGGUUAUGCGACCAAGAGUCUCGUUACUCCAAAAUUCAUGAUAUAAUCUACAGAAUUUGGACAGAAGUUAGGGCAUUGUAUGUGGAAAUUUAUGGCUACUUGGCUAGUAUCACUCCUAGUAUCCUAUAAAAUUUGGGGAAUUCUAAAACUCAAUCAAAUAAAUAAUAAGAAAAUUGAGGUAUUUGCUGGUACCAUCCUGCAAUAUCACAGAUUAAAGAUAAUAAAAUCCAUAAGUGUAAGUGGUGCUUGUACUUGCUGCAUAAUAGUUCAGAAAUUAAUGAAAAACUCAUAUUAUAAUGAUGCUUGGGUAUAUUAAUUUCUGUAUCAGAAGUGGGUAACAUUAAUUUCACUAAAUUACCUAAGGGUCGGCCCCAGAAUAUAGGAUAGAGAAUUUCCUCAUGAUAUGAAUACUAUGAUACAUCUUGGGGAGAAAUUGCAAUACCAAUAUGAGCCGCAUGCCCUGCUCAUCCAGCUUUGGCAUCUUCACCGCAGUCAGCUCCUAGCUACUCCGCUCAACUACUUCAAGUUGUCCGCUUCUCAUACUCAAGCAAAUCUAUGACAAUCUUAAUGUGUUAAUUACAAAAAAAAUAUGUAUGCACAAUCACAAUUUCAAUACUUAGCCUGCUGCCGAAUGCAGUCAGGUGAGUUUGAGAAAUUAAACUUAAUACUACAACAAUGUGAGAAUAUUCUAAUUGAAUGUGCUUGGUCAAAUACAAAUUCCAUCAACCAUUCCAAAAUCGACUUUUGCAACAGGUGUUGGAUAUUUACCGACCACUUCCAAUGCUUUUGCCGUCAGUGCGUUCGCCCUUACCGUCGUCUUGCUCUAGUUCCCUUUUAUCGGGUCCCUUCUUAAGAGGCUCUUGAACUAGAUUACCCAUUGCUUCAUCAUGAUUUCCAUUCUGCUCAUCAUCCUGUUAGCAAAAUAGUAACUGGUCACCUGACAGUCUCACAGAAACCAAAACUCUCACCAGACGAAUAAAAUGUUAAGAUUAUUCAAAAAGAAGCUUUUCAGAUUACACGACAGAAAUAUAGAUAAACUGAAAAUCCUCGACCAGCACAAGUUUCAGUAAGAAAAUACUGUGUGGUUACUGGGAGAAAAACUUCUGACAUUGAUGUUUUAUUCCUCUCAUUCGUACAGUUCCUUCACUUUUAAGUUUUGGGAAAAUUUGCUCCUGCACACCGUUAUUCUGUGUCUUUUGCUCAGACACACUCCUCAAUCGUGUCUUUGCUGGGUACCAUUAUGAUUUAGUGGCCAUUUGCCACAACACACUCUGACAUGUGGAUCUUCAUUGUCAGUUGCAGAGUCGCUCGAUCAACUUUUUUCUUCUCCGGCAUAUCCCCGAACUCACCCUGCCAUUUCUUUCUCGCGUGACUGUUGUUUGUUGUCUACUGAUCCAUCUCGCAUGACUAACGCAUAUUGAACGAAGCUGGGCAGUCUACUUCCUCCUCGAUGCCAUCCAUCUUGUGCAGCACGGCCGCCGACUGCUGGUUGCCUGAGCAGUGCUGCACUGCUGCUUGCUAUGCUGGGCUGCGGGCUAGCUGCUGCUUGCCGGCCACUGCGCUGCGCCUGAGAUGCCACUGCUGCUUGCCUGAGAUGCUGCUGCUAGCUCCCGAGCUCGUCAAGCCGGCCAAGACGUGUCCACCUUGAGCAGCCGCCACCAAUGGCGUAGGUCGCAGGCUAUGCUCGCUGUCAUCUCCUUGAGCUUUGAGGUGCUGAGAGGCCUGCGUCCUCCAGAUCAAAAAUAUGAUGUGAUUGGAGAUGUGUCAGAGGAGGAAGAAAUCCAUUGAGUGGCUGACAAUUGACAAUGCAGUUCCACAUGUCAGAGAUAAUAGUACUCAGCAAAGACAUGAUUGAGUAGUGUGUCUGAGCAAACAACACAAAAUAACGGUGUCCAUGAGCAAAUUUCCCCUUAAGUUGUAACCAAGUUACAGUAAAAGGAAACUGGUAUAGUAGCUGUCACUGCAUAUUAGUAAAAAUAGCUCGUGGUCACGGAUCAUGCCGUGAUCAAGUAACUUGCAAGCAUCGAAUUCCAAUAAACAGCAGAUUUGAUCAAUGUUACAACUGAUCCAGAAGGUUUAACACAACACUGAACAUUGGUUAUAUAUGUACCAAUAUAUAAACACAACACCAGCGGGCAGGCGGCGCGCGAGCCGGGGAGAGGAUCUUGCCAGGGAGCGGCGAAGGGCGUGGCCGCGACGGGCUCGUGGGCGGCGUAGGGCACCCGCGUCGGGCGUGGUCGCGAUGGACAGGGAGCGGCGGAAGGCGCCCGCGUUGGGCGUGGCCGCGGGGGGCAGGGAGCGGCGGAGGGGUCGGACGCGGGAGGGAUUUAGAGGGUAGAGAGGAUGGCAGCUGGGACGAGCCACCGCCGGCGCGGCGAUGCGGCGGCCGGGCGCGCCGCCAUGGUGGAAGAAGGGGAAAACGAGAUGGGUCGGGCCUGUUGUUCCUUUGGAAAAAAUAGGGUUGGACUAGAUGUUGAGUAUUCUCCGAAAACAUAGAAAAUGAAUAGUGUUUCUAAGGAUUUGUUUUGCUCCUUUCCUACAAACCGAAUGCAUCUUCCUUUGAAUCUCCAAUCCUCUGUUUUUUCUUUGAAAAUCUUCCAAACCGAAUGAGCCCUGACAUGUUAUGGCUUGCAUUCCGGGAGAGUCACACUUUGGCAUGAAAAACCUUAACGGCGGUGUUAUUUUGGAAACUUUAGUUUUCCUCAUGGUAAUUUGUAACUCUCGGUUUUGACUAGUGUUUGUUGUAAUUAAGAGAUCGGUAAAAUAUCAUGGAGUAUAUAUUUUAAUUAGUUAACACUCCAUUACAUUACAUUUACGUUUUAUGUGAUAAAAAUCACAAUUGAAAGUAACGAAUUCUCAUCAAUUCUUUAUUUCAACCCAUCAAAAAAGGGGGCACUAAGUGGGGCACGUGCCCAUUAGUUUGUCAUGGAGCGGCGCACACUAAGAAGUCAAAUUCUUCUCCUUAUGGAGCUACCGUGUGUGUUGCAGCACUGUCGCGGAGGUGGUUAGUCCAUGUCAACAUGUUGUAAAUUCCGAGCCAACAGUGUGUUCACGUGAUGGUUACUUCUCGUCCCGUAAAGUUAAAUCUCGGUUGCAUAAUUGAAUUUAUGUUUACUCAUUUUAGUGAAGUUGUUGUUUCUUCCAGUGAACAAUGUGAUGAUGAUUUCUAUUUAAGUAUUGUACUUGCUGAGUUUUAACUUAUUCUUACAUUCUUGUUGUUUUAUUUGUUUUUUCAGGAACUUCGAGUAACGGCAUGCAUGGCAGGAACAUCACACCUUCACAUGAACACCACACAUCUUGUAAUUAAUGUAGUGCCUUGAUCUCAUCCUGUUGUAAUAGAGGCAUAAUUCGUAGGUAAUUAUUUCACAACAAAAUUGCUUGGUAUGAGCCCUUGGUCGCUCAAGUUUUAUUAUCUUCUGUUGUAGAGUCUGGUCAAGAAUAUACGAGUUGCGUCCAUGCUAUCAGGUUAGAUUGGGUUACAUUACUUAUUAUUUAAAAGAUAGAUGUCCCUAUAAACAAAGAAAGUUCUGUCAAAAUUUAUAAUCUUUCCUAUAGUUAAUGACAUUUGGGUCAAUGUGGUAAUAUUGUAGGUAGUGCUGAUACCUUGGGUUGUUACACCUCCGCUUGGGUGGGUAAAGCUUAACUCUAAUGGAUCAUUCCAUCAGUCUUCUCAUGCCGAUGAUGUUGGGAUAAUUUUGGGUAAUGACCUGGCCCAGAUUAUUUUCUCUUCUUGUUGGGUACUUUUCCACUGCUCGAGCCCGAAAGAAGGCGUUGUGUGCUUACAUGGAAGGUAUAGCCCUAGAGUCCAGUACGUGGAGCCACCUUUCCAUGAUAAUGGAAUCUGAUUGCUUGGCGGUGCAUGGUAGCAGCCGGCCAGGAACCUGGUAUUGAUAGAUGACGUCGUGCCCAAUUGGUUGAAGAAACGAGCGAUUUUAGCACAAGGCCGGAUGUUGUCUUUUGUAAAAGGGGAUAAAUUGCAGAAUCGUGGAGUCAUAUUCUUGCAAACUUGGAAAAUGUAUGGUUGUUUGGCUGGGUUUCGGUACACCGGAGAUUGGCCUGCAAUUCGUCACUAUUGUUUUGCGGGCACAAUUCGUCACAAUUGCCAUGCGGUAGAAGUUGUUCAGAAUUUUUUUUACGAGUCUUAGGUCUUGUAAAAGGUCUCGUCACAUGUUUGCUGAAUUCGAUAUAUGGUUACUUUACUUCAGCACAAAGCAGCGCAGAAGUACGGCACAUUCAAGAUCGAUCGCUCCACGCUAGAAUCUGAUUAGAUACUUAAUCUCGUAUGUACAAUAGGAGUAACGCACAUACAGAGCUUCCCUGACAAGCUUGAGCGCCAUUAUGCUAGAUUGGGCUCACUCACUGAUUCAUGUACAUGGCCGAUCGAGUUAGUAGUACUUAGCAAUCAAUCAUGGACAUGAUCAGCAGCACACAAGGCUAGAGUAGACACCAUGAGAAGUACACCUUCAAGAACAGCCUAGGGUGGCCCCCGCCGGGGGCGGCAUGAUGCUGCCCCAGGCGCCGUGCGGCCGCAGCCUUCAUUUGCCAGGAUUAGCGUGUCAGCGACUGGGAUUCUUGUCGGGCCCCAUCGGUCAGAGGCAGCCGCCUAUAGGGUAGUAGUAGCACUAGCUAGGUAAGCAGGGGCGGCUCUGUUCCGACAGAGGCGGGGAGCGGAGCCCACGCUGCUGGCGCGGGGGCAGUGGAUUAUGCGCUUUGUCACGCGCGCGAUGGAGCCCACGGCUGUCCACCAGAAUCCGACACAGUUCGGCCGAGCCACGGCCACCAAAGCACACCAGGACGAUCCGAUGGCCACAUCGUUCAGUCCUGAGCCUUCUCGCCUUGCGGUUUUGACGAUUUUUUCUCAGCCGAGGAGCAACAUGACGAGGCUAGAUAGAAUACUCCAAUUUCUUUUCUUUUUUCCGCUAGAAUACUCCAAUUUCCACGAGCCUCUUUUCCUCCUGCGAAAUCCUCGAUCCUUUGGGCACGGGGGGCGCACUCCAAACAUUGAGAGCAUUGGGCCAUGGCUAGGAACCGAUCGAGGGCACAUCACAUGCGAGGGAAGCUUGUGAUUGCUACACGUCUGCAGCAGCCAGCGUCCAGAACUUGAUCCAAGCGACAAGGAGAUGACACACACUGAUGUCAAAUGAGCAACGGUUGGGUCAACAAUUAUUGUUUUCUGAAUGAAACCGGGUGCUUCAGCUUUAGUGGAAGUCCAAUUUAUCCUGCUUUAGCACCGAAGGGUUGUUAGAAUCGAGUCCAUGCUUCCUGGCUUGACCAAUAUUGCACACACCCUUGUGAUGAAAACAAUUUUCACUUAUCAUUUAAAUUAUAGGAGAAGCAAAAUUUCUCCUUGCCUCGCAUCCUCUGGAAACGAAACGGUUCUUCUGCACAGGCUGAAGAAACGGUAUUUUUGGUGUAAAUUUACGAGCAUAAAUACCACUAGACGUACGUACGUGUGUCAUUGUUCUAGUACCAGUACUAGUAGAUUUCUUGACAUUUCAAAGUUAAUUAGGUUCGUAGCAUAGCCUGCGAAGCAUCAUACCGUGCGGAGCGAAUAGCCUAAAAAAGAUUUGUGAAGUAGGCCAUCGAUAUCGGUACUACAGCAAACGGCUCUGCAGCGGGCUCUGUUCUGUUGAACAAGCAAUAGAGCACUCGGCACGAGCUAUAGCCCGUCAUCAUUUUUCCUCUGUGCCAAGGAACAGCCGGUAGCAGCUCAUGAUCCACCCCGGCCGGAGCUGCAUGCAAGCCUAGUAGUAACCUAAGCCUCGCAUCCGCAUGAUAUUGAUACGGGCGGGCGGGCGGCUUUGGCUUUGGCUUUGGCUUUGGCUUUGUGUUGGAAGCUUUUGGCUGGGCCGGCCGACUGGAUGAGGGCAGGACAGGGUCAGAGGAUCGGAUUCCCCACUUGUCCUAUUCGCUUCGUCUCAUUGGUGCCUGCCUGCCAGUCAGUGAGUGGGCAGUGCAGUGGUGCUGGUGGUGGUGGCAUCUGAUCUGAUCUCGGCAUCGGCAUGGCUAUGGCUAUGGCUAUGGUUUUCUUGUUUGUUUGGCGCCGUGGUGGUGGCGUCGCAGCCGCUGGCUGGCUGGCUUGGCUGGCCGGGCGCACGCGGCCACCCACCUCCACUCCAAAGACUCACUCCAUCCACCUUGUUGGGCGUGGACAGAUCGAAUGGAGGAGCCGCUGCUCUGUCUGUCCACUGGGCCAAGGCAGGCAUCAGAACACGAAGCGGCGCGGAACUGGGCCUGUCGGGUGGGCGACACGUGGGAGGGUGGGGCCGGCAUGUCAGAGGCAAGGGUGAGCUGUGUUGCCGAGGCUUUCCGGAGCAGGAGACGGGGGCACGAGGCACGCGCACCCACCACACCACACCCCCCUCCGCAAAAACCCAAUCGAGUGCCCACGCAGCCACGCUCGGUAUCAUCGUCUCGUCCCUCAUUACUACCAGUACUCACUUCCCCGUCUCCCCUUCUCUGCUCUCAGCUCCCUCCUCUUCGAUCGAUUCCCCUCCCCUCCUCCUGUCUCUCUGUAUCUGCACCUGUAUCUACUCAAAAGAAGUGCAAGGGGAAUAUAAAUUAAAGACGGCACGGGUAAAGGACGCCCCGGUGAAAAAAAACGCCGCCCCUUUUAUAAACCCUGUGCCCCCUCCCUCGCCAUUGCACAACAUCAUUCAUAUCCCGUCCCAUCCCCGUCCGUCUCCUUCUAUUCCUUGUGCCUUCCUCUUGCUCUGUCUGCUUGCUUUGGCUGGGCUUCAUCACACACGCGACGCGCGCUCGGCUUGAUCGGAACGAUCAACGAUGCGUUUGGCGUUCGGCUGCUCGUCUUCUGCAUCUUCGCGUGAGUAACCCACUUCUGCAGCUGCAUCCAUCCAUCGAUCGGCUAAUCUGUGUUUGAGUUGUUCGUAAGACUAAACUCUUUUGGAUGCCUUGGCAGGUAGGUGAUCGCUGCAUUGUUCAUCAGCUGGAGCCGGAGUCGGGGAUCGCAGGGUGGCAUUGGGAAGACAACGACGCCAACUACACGCUGAUCACAGGGCUCGAUCGUUGCACGUAAUACCCUCUCUCCCUUUCGCAUUACUGCUUUACUUUGUUUCUUCUCUGUCGAUUACCCUGUUUCUAUGAAUUCCUUGGUUUGGGUAUUAGGAUGUUCGGUUCUUGGUAAUACAUAAUCCAUGCCACUAUGGCCUUACAGAGAAGAGAUAACAUUUGAAUGCCAGCUGCAGGCUGUUUUCUUGUGUGUUUUGACUGACACAACCUGGGUGUUCGUCAAAUCACGCACAAGUCUUUGUUUCCUUUCGUGUUGUUGUCAACUUGUCAUCCAUGUCUUUUGCUGGAACUGACUUGGUAACAACAACAUGCCAUUCUUUAUGCUAAAUGAUUUACUACUACCGGCAAAGAAGUAAAUGGCCGCUGUUCUGUCAUCGAAAACAAUACUAGCACGCGGUAGCGAGUACUCAUGUCCAAGUGUCGAUCAAGUUGAGUUUGGCCACGUUGCGCUGCCGAUGUUGACGAGUGGACCAUACCGAUGUCAAAGAUUUUGUUCACGCGCGCCUAGUGCAUUUCGCUGCACGCGUUCCGAAUCUCGGGCAUGCAUGCCUUCUUUUCCGAAGAAUGCUAUCCCCACUCUAGGCCGCUUUUCCUCUUUCUGCUUCUGUUCUACUAGUGCUAGCGCCAGUCUUUUAGUACGUGCACUCCGGUUAGGCUGGGGUACCCGGGCUACAAGUAGGCAUCGGCAGCAAGCUUUGUUGUGUUUGUCCCCUCCCCUGUUUGCACCCUCACAAAAACCGUUAACUCUGUAUAGUUCUUUCCGGGCAAUACCCCACCCCAGCCCUUGCUUGUGCUGCGUGGUAGGCCAAAGUUGGUACAGGUUACAAAAGUCACUUUAGGGUCUUCACGUAUAUAUGCUUGACUCGUGUAGUACAGGAAUCACAAUGGUAAAGAAAGUUACACUUUGCAUGUGUCUGCAUUUGUCAUUCGCCUAUUUCGUUUCUUGCACUAGUACUGCUUUUACUUUUAACCUUGUGUUACCAUGACGUGACUGAUGUGUUUCUCGUUUGGACCGCGAUACGCAGGCCGAUCACUUCCUCGAGCUUCUGACGUAGGUUGGCCAUUACUCCAAACAGAGGAGCUUGGCUUGGGAAGAAAACAGAGGAAGCAGAGAGCACAAGGGUCUUUUUCAAGGCCAAGCAAGAGGGUCAGUUCCAAGCGACGUGACGAACGUGAUGCAGGGAGGCCACGGCUAUGGUGGCUACGGCGGCUCCCCGCCGCAAGGGUACGGCUACGGCGGCUACGGCGGCUACGGCGGCUACGGCUACGACGCCGGCGGGUACAACUCCGGUGCCGCUGCCGGGGGUUACUACUCCAACAACGGGUACCCGUCGUACGAGGACGCGCUGGCCGGGCAGACGAUGAAGGCGCACGAGUCCGCCGCGCCGCUGAACGAGCUGGAAUUCCAGCCGUCGGAGACGUGCCCCAAGAACUACGUCAUCUUCGACCAGACGUGCACCAAGAGCCGGGUCAUGUUCCACCCUUCCCUGGCCAACAAGUUCGGCGGCAACGGGGGCGCCUCGGAGUACGACAACUACUACGGCGCCCCCGGCUCCGGCGGCAACGCCUACGACGCUGCCGCCGCAGGCAAGAGCAUGUACAACAAGGACAGGGACUACGACGCCGACAUGAGCUGCUCCGUGCGGCACAAGGAGGACACGGACGAGAUCGACGCGCUGCUGUGCUCGGACGACGGCGACGAGGACGACGUGGUGAGCACGGGCCGCACCCCGGGGUACCGGGACGGGAGCUCCCCGGACUCGUGCUCGUCAAGCUACGGCGGCGGCAGCAAGUCGAGGUCCGAGUGCACGGGCGGGCGGAAGAAGAAGGAGCGGAUGAAGAAGAUGGUGCGGACGCUCAAGGGCAUCAUCCCGGGUGGCAACCAGAUGGACACGCCGGCCGUGCUGGACGAGGCCGUCAAGUACCUCAAGUCGCUCAAGGUGGAAGUCAAGAAGCUCGGCGUGCGCGGCUCCGACAGCUGAUGCGUGACAUAACAUCAUGGAUCACUACCCCGGUGGGUUAAGUUGAGUUGGGUUUUGAACAAAAAGGCAGCCAGCAGCAGCAGCAGCACUGAUCGAUCGAGUACUGACACAACACUAGCGCAUCAUCGUCCUUCUCCAUAGUAACCGAUGGCAUCGGCAUUCGGCAUUGUCACGUACUCGCUGGCAUAAGGGCAGCUUUUCGCAGUGCCAUGAUCUUCUUGCCAAACUCUUUUUGUACACUCCCCCCCUUUGGCGUCCAUGAUGAGGGCAUGGGAGAGCGGCAUGGAUUGAUGAAUGUAACUUAGCUAGUGCUCUGCUUUGGGGGUAGUGGAGCGGGAUGAUGGACUGAUGGAAGCCGUGUCGGGGCAGGGCAGGAGAGAAGGGGAGCACAGAGAGCAAUUGCAUCGAUGCUCACUUCACUUCUUGGCUUUCUCCUCGCUCCGGCUGGUGCUAGUUGGUGGGCCUAGCUAGUGCAUGCUUCUGCUCCUCCUAGGAAGCAGCCUGGAUGCUGUGUGGUUUUUAGUUGCUUUGUUUUGCAAAAUUCGCUUUUUAGUUGUUGCUCCUGCAAUCUGCAUGCUACUUUUGUCUUCUUCCCGUCUUGAUCUCGAUCGAUCGAUCCAUGGUGCAUGCAUGCAAGGCCCAGUCUCCAGUGUUAUAUUUUAUGAUUGCGGUGUGUGAUGCUUAUGAUGCUGCUGAUCAUGACGGCACGUUGGCGCCUUCCUCUUCCUCUUCUCGUGGCCGGCCGUCGUGUUCUCCUUGUGGGUAUUGUUUGUGUGUUGUGCCUGGCACUACCGAUUGAGCUGGCCAUUCGCGAGCAUCCUACGUCGACCCUUUUUUGCUCUAGUGCUCGAAUCCCACACGGAAAAAGGGUACCCCCUUCCCUUCCUUCUCUUCCUUCCUUCCUUUAGCAAUGUCAACUUGAUGCAUGCUUAAAGGUCUGUAAUGAUGCUCAUAAAAUAUAUGCACGACCAUGCUUCUCUCCCUAGCUUAGUUGCAACUCCAAGUUUAGCACUACCGGCUAUGCCAUUUGCGUGUUGAUGUUUUCACGAUUAAUUAAAGAUCCCCUGACCAAUGCAUGACUAGCUUCGCCUAGAAUGUGUGUUGAUAUUUUUUAUAGCCUUUCUGUAUGCUUUGAGUGUCACUAUCUUGACUUAACCUUUAAUUCAUGAUAGUUGACAAUUUAACAUGACCACCAGGAAAUUAAUGGACGGUACUCGGCCAAGCAGACAUUCUAGCUUUAGAGCAUCUCCACUCUCGUCCCCAACUAGGCAUCGGGCAGGCGCGGCCGAUUUUUAGGCCGUUUAGGGGGGCGCCGGCGGAAAAACAAAUUGGGGUUCCGUCGUGACCCAGCCGUGGCCCCAGUACCAAAUCCCCAAAAACUAUAAAGUUGGAAAUUUGAGAAUACUCGGCGAUUUAAAUGAACACGGCGAAAUUUAAAUAAACUCAGCCAAAUUUAAGUAAACACCGGCGAAUUUAUUACAUAAUUCGAAAUUAAAAAACCCUAGACCUAGUCGGAGUCGGAGGUAGGUGUCGAAGUCGAAGCCGGAGUCCUCACCGUCGCUGUCGAGGACGAUGACGCCAGGCUCCUUCACCGCCGCCGGCUUCUUCGUCGCCGCCGCAGCCUUCUUCUCGGUCUCCUCCUCCUCCGCCUCGCGCUUGCUCCAGGCGAUGAUUUUGGCCUCCGUCAUCCUCGGCCUCUUCCUUGCCGGUACGCUCCACCGCGCGUGGACCCGGGAACUCCUUCGGGUCGUCGUCGCCACGGUAAUCCGCCUCCGGCGCCCACUCCGACACAGGCUUGGGCCUAACGAGGCGAAGAUGGCCGUGGCGGCGACGUUGGCCGGCGCGAGCACGAGAUGAGGAGCCUGGCUCGUCCUUGAUGCGUAGUGGUGGCGAGAAGGCGUUGCGGCUGGAUGAGCAGGAGCAGGAAGAGGCGGAGCUCGCCGACCAGCGGUGAUGGCCGGCCAGGGGCUACGCCGGGGUCUCCAGUCGGGGAUUGUCGCCGGCGGCCAUGUGCCCCAUCCCCGCCUGCGGGCAUGAGCGCCACCCGCCGAUGUUAUGCCUUGGCGGCGGCACGCGUUCGCCCUGGCCCUCAUACCGGGCCAGGUUGGUGGCGUGUUGGUUGGCGAAUAGCACCUCCCUGGGGCUGCCGAAGUGGAGAUCCCACUCCGGCAGCUCGUGCUGCUCCGCCGUUAAUCCACCCCCAGUACUGGGCGGUGAUGGUGAACUGACGCGCUCUCCCUUGCGGCACCGGCGGUGUCGUGAUGCCGCAUAUGGAGAGCGACCAGCCACCCUGCAGCUGUUGAUGUUAACCUAGUUGUAGUCAAGUAUGGUCGUCAGUUUUCCUUAGAUAAAAGAGUCCUCAAGUUAGACAAGCCUAGUUUAAACCGGAUUCUGUAAUGUUAUAAACAAAUGACGGGUGGCGUCGUGUUGGAUUCCAAUUAGGAUUCGUGUUGGGCGCGCUCUUAAUCUUGUAAGCCUUCUAUAUAAAGCAAUGAAAGAGUCAGGGCCGUAAAAAGUUGCUACGGUGGUCAAAUCCCGUCUCUAAACACAGAUUGUUUCUCGUCAAGUUUAUCUUGUUUGUGCAGCGAUUCUGGUGUAGUUUCUUGCUGCUGUAGACACUGAAACCAACAGAAGCCGGCAGUCCGACGAUGCCUGGUAGUCGUGCUUGUGGCCGGUGAGAAACCGGUGAGGACGAUUCAUGGUUUGGGUUCGGCUUGGGCCACGCCGGCUCAAAUUUUCAUUUGGGGAGGCCGGCUGGUUCCGUUUUUUGGCUCCGACGGUCCCGUCCCUUAACUCGUUUGGGGGCCCUUUAGGGGGGGCGACUGGAGAUGCUCUUAGCUCUAGAUCCUGAACGUUUGGAAUUUUCACUUCCCAUCCGAGCGAAAUCUGUCACGUAUAUAUUUUCAUAUCAUAAGGCGUUCUUGAAUUUUAGAGUAAAAUCUAGAAAACCAUAUUUUUUGUGAUGAGGUCACCGAAUCACGAUUAUCGCUAACUGUCUCGUAGAACCACCACUUUGAGGUAGAUUUUCCCAAGAAUUCAAAUAUGCUGGUUUAGCACGUGUAACCGAGAUUCUGAUUGAUGGAGCCCACAUAUAAGUGCCAUGUCAAUUUUUAAUGGGAUUUCUAUACCGACGUGACCCCUUCUUGAUCUCCUCUUCCUCAUCCUUGCGUUUGUCGACGCCCAGCACGCCACCGUGAACUAGCAUCCACCUCCGCACGGGCAUCCGAUAUGUGGUCCACAUGUGUCAGAUUCGCUGUCAAACGUGCAAAUAUGUUGGAUUUGGGUUUUUUGUGAAGACAUGCCUCAAAAGUGGUAGUUCUAUGAGACAAUUAGCAUAACUGUGUUUAUGUGAAAGCCUAGGCACAAAAGGUGUGGUUUUGUGAAAAUUUCUCUAAAUUUUAACCAAAUUUGUAGGAAAUAUCAGCAACAUCUACCACACCAACCAAUACCAGUAAAUAAAUUAACCAUGAAAUGUAUUUUUAUAAUGUAGAUUUUGAUAUUUAUCAAUGUUGUUGUUCUUGACAACAAUUAGAGUAAGGGGUGCCAACGCUCGAUGGCACAAUUGCGGGUAUAAAAGUAGGGCGUGUACGCCGGUCUUAUAGCGAAGGUCGCCGUACACUUGGACAAGUUGACACGUCGAUAUUUUUUGAAUAGUUUCGGUCGAUCCUGCGGAUACGACUUAAUCCUAUGUUAGGAAAGGCUUCGAGGGGGUUGUUAGCCAAGUGCUUGGGCCGAGCGGAUCUUCUCAAGACACCUUUAGCGAGAGAUUCGUCGGGGCAGCCUCGUACUUGGACUGAACGCGUCUUUCCAAGUAUCGGGGUUAGAAUACCCUUGGAACUCUAACCCAACCCCUUCUUUUUCGAGUCCGUGCUAACUAAGGUUAGCUCGGAGCCUCAAAACUAGAGUCCCCUAAAAGGUUUCCUCGAGGCCGGUCGACUUUCAGUCGAAAGCGGCUCUUGAGAGAGAACCUUAGAGGGAGCACUCUAUCUCUCUCCCCUUGAGUUUAUUCAAGUUGAGGGUGAAUGAUACAUGCCCCCAUGUGGGGUAUUUAUAGCCUAGAGGUCCAUGAUAAAAGAACAUGGCUAGCCUUGAGGGAGAGAGAAAAAUAGGAGCAAAAUGGUAAAGUAGCUCCUUGGUUCAUAACUUUUGUGUGCACCAUGUGGGGGAAAGUGGGUGUUGUUAUCUAAGUAUUUGGGCCGAGCGGAUCUUCCCAAGUCAAGGCUCAUCCUCGCACCUUUCUUGCCCCAACUCUAACUCAUUUCACCUUUUGACCAUGGCAUGAGAGGCUUGACUUGUUGACUUGUCUUCCUUUGUCACGUAGGAUUGACUGCGUCACGUGGACAUCUUGACUCAUGCUUGGAAAAUGUUGAUUUAGUCAUCGCCACGUAGGAUUUACGGCCCGGCCUGUUUUAUUUUACUACAACAAUCAAUAAAUAUAGUUGGACUUCAAACGCUUUGGACCGAGAACAAAAAUCAUACUCCAUUUGUUCCUAAAAAAGACGUAUUUCUUUCUUUUGAUCGAGCCUUUAGUCCAUUGAUUUUUUCUUAUCAAAACAUUAAUAUAUUUUUUUAGAAUAAAAUUUAUAUUAUUGCAUUCGUAGUAAAAAAUGAUUGUUUAUGGUUAUGAUUUGUAUCGCACGAUGCAGUAAUGUUUGGACGAAACUCGGUCAAAGGACUCUUUUGUUUUAGGAACAGAGGAAAUAUAGGCGAACCCCAUAAGCUAAACAUGGCUUGACUGGCACAUCGCAGUGCUCUUUAUGGGACGUAGCUUGCUCAGGAGACGAUCCAGCCUGCCCGCCAUGGAGGUUUGGCACCAAACCAGCUUGUGGGGAGGCAUUGGGCGCAAUUGGGCGCGGAGCACCUUGCACGCAAGAAAUGGAGCUGAUCUCGCUAUGCAUUGCCGGCAUGCGCCACGUUUGGCUGAAGCGCUACGCUCACGCCUUCAACUAUAGCUAAAACAUAUGCGCGGCGCGCCACCAACAUUUUGCGCAUGUAGCUUGAUGCUUGACGUGAGUUGCUGCUUGCGACAAUUUGUUCUGAACUUGCAGUAUUCCUAGAUGUACAGGGCGUUAAUGUUGGGCGCCGACCACCACGACACCGACAGUGCGCACGUUCCAUCGAUCGUGCCGUGCGUGCAGCAGCGAUGUGUGCUUGCAAUUGCAUGCACGCCGACUAAACAAAGUUUAUCACUAGAACGACGACGUACGCGUGAGUGAGUGAUCCAGGAUGGCUCUGCCUAGCUAGGUGCGCAACUAACCAUGCCACGUAUAUAGCAGCAGCGCCGGUGAAAGAAUUGGUUGCGGCAUUGGGCGUGGCGUAAGUUGUGUAGUAAAGUGCGAGAUGUCUUGCUCACCGCAGGCGCAGAGGAGCACCACCACGUACCGCUGAAAUGCUGAUGCUUCUGCCACUUCCGAGUUGAGCGUAUCGGGGCGCCGUUCGCCACUGUUUUCACCGUUGCCUGAGCACCGAACGAAAGCAUGCGGCGACGUCCACCCGAUGAUGGCAUGUCAACCGAUCCAAGUGUAUAUAUAUCUCUUUCUUUUAUUGGGUGCAAAUGAAGUAUCCUGUUCUUCUGGAUAUUGCAGGGUGCUGUACUGCUGUUGAAUGUUGACCGGCACGUACGCGCACAAGACAAGAGACCACACACUGAAUCUGAAUGGACCAAUACCAGUCCACGGGGUCCAGUUAAGUAGCCCAAUCCGUAUGCUAUAAUAGUACGCAAGUACUAGUACGUACCUUUUGCUCUCGCUCGCUCGCUCGUGUUGGAGAGAAACAGUGCAGGCGCUGCACGCGCGCGGCCGGCCGGCGAGUGGCAAGCACGAUCCAGCCAGUGUUGAUUCCACCAUGGAGAACUGCAGGCAAUGAGAGACGAGAGAUGUCGUGCCGUGUUGGAGCUUAAAACCCCGUAGACCGUAGUGCGACUCCGUGGACGAGAGGGGAGUAAAAGGGGCGUCCACUACGGCAGGCGCGCCGGUCGUGGAGCAGACGAGCCGGGUAUCCCGCUAGCGAGUGAGUGCGUGCGUGCGCGAGGCACGUACGAUGAGCUAGUCCUAGUCGUCCUCUCUCCCCUGCCACUAGCCACUAUUUAUCACACACACACACACUCCCGCCGGCCCGUCACGUCCCCGUACUGUGCGCCGCCAACCACACAAGCAACAGCAAAACGGCCGGCCGUGUUUUUGGUUUACUAGCCAAGUGGUCAUGCAAAGCCUGGUUUGAUUUUGGAGUAAGCCUCAUUUUUUCCCUCUGAAAAUAGAUACUGCUCAUUCUAACCAUCACAUUAAAAAAAAUACAAUAGAGAGAGUUUGUGUAAGUAUAACAAGAUGAACAAAACCACAAACACGACCAGAAAAUGGAAAAAAAAAUAAAACACUUAGAACCACCCUGCAAGUUUCACUUCUUGAGAUUCUUUGGCACGCGUCACCCAUUUUCACAGGAACGAUAUGAAGCUUUUGAUUUUCAAAUGCACUCUGAGGUUUGACAUUUUCAGAGUGCCAAAUAAAUACAUUGCCUUCAACGUGACCCGCUAAUGGUAAGGUUGUCCAGACGACGCUUGAGAAAAGUCUCUACCUUCUAGGCGUCCCACUUUAGGGCAUUGAGAUUUCUUCGGAAGGAGAUUAUGGUACCCAUUGCGGUAUCUUGCCCAACCGGCGGAGCCGUCCGAUGGCCCCUUGGGAUCUGCGAAAAGGAGCGUGAGAAAUGAUUUCCCGUCAGCUAAAUCGAUUUAAUGUGUCCUAUCGGUAGGUGUAAGGACAUAUGAGCUUGCUUUGUUGAUUCGACUGGUGGGCCAUGUACACGGGCAGUGCAGUGGUAAGAGAAAGAAAUAUCUGCCCUGUCUUCUUCCUCGCACUCCCCUCAAUGCCGACGACCCAUCUCUCCUCGCCGCUCCCCCCCGGCUACACCGGCGUCACCUCGAUUAACAUUUCUCUCCAAUGAAUCGACCUGGUGUGUUCCAAGUUCGUCAGUCCUUGCAGGGUGCUCAGGCGGCGAAGUAGUACAUUCGAGGCACGAGUAGUGUGAGUUCUCUAUUGUGUAAAUCGAACCUUGUGUUCACUUGUUAAGUACUGUGUGACCAAUACAAGCUAUGUUCUGAAGCUGCAUCUUUUGUUUAGUUCAGUAACUUAUUGUACCAUAUGAUUAGGGCGUGUACAAUGGGGUAACGUCAGUCUUUUCUUAUCGAUGCCACAUAGGAUAAAAUCUGACGUGGAAGGCAGAGAAAUGAAGAAAAGGCACAAGACUUCUCUUAAUUAAGAGAUGAUCUCUUCACAAAAAUGAUAAGGCAAAGAUAAAGCAAAUUUCUCAUUGUAUUGGAUUUUGUCUUUUCUUAACAUUUAUUUAGUUAAUUUUAUUCAUCUAAUCAUUAAUUCUAAGAUAUAACAUCAAGAGAUAACCCAUUGUACAACAUGUUUUGUUGCAUUUUCUAAAUGACGUGAAACACCUAAGAUAAGGUAAUCUUAUCAACCAUUGUACAUGUCCUUAUGGCUCAAACAGGGUUACCGGAACAGUUGCAAUAUUUCUGGCAUAAAAUGUUUUUAUUAUUAUUUACAAUGCAUACCGUACAUAUAUUGGUUUCGUGUAAUGUCCUGUUGACAUAAUGUGUUAGUAGUAUAAAUUGUUAGAAGAAUAUGCUGCUGUUGUGAGAGUAUGUGAAGUUGCAUGUAUUGUGAAUAAUAGGUAAGGAGGUUUAAGGCUAUGUUGCAGUUCGAACGCACAUGUACUUGAGGACCCCUUGUUCAAUGCAAAGACGACAUCAAUGACGAUCCAUGGAUGUCGCCAUGUGUUGCUAUAUAUGCAGUAACUUUUACAUACUCCAUCUGACUUCGUGUGUUAGCUUGAAAGUUGCGACUACUCAAUCUGAAUUAUGGUUUUGCUGUAUUCUCAAACAACAACCGCACGUUCCAUAAGUUUUGUUGCUGAUUGCCAUGAAAGUACAAAUAUGGCAAACAUAAUGCUUGUACAUAAAGACUGGGAUGAGAUGUUUCACAACUAUGGUAGUUCGACAGAAACUUUACAUUCGUGACAGUAAAGGUGAUGAAAUCCAUGGUCGUACAAGAUGAACUUAAAGUUUGAAACGGAGAUGAAAUCCAAGGUUGAGUAGAGCAGUGAGGCUACCUCAAUAUAUCAUACAUACAUGCAAUUUUUUACUUCAACAUGAGAAGAAAUUUGAUUAGGUGGUUAGAAAAGUUAGAUGUACUGUGGAUACUUUCGUAUGUACCAGGUAAGAAAUCCAUGGUCUUAUAGAACAGACUGUUAAUUUAACAAUUCCAACUAAAACAAAGGCUGGUCGAUACAAACUUAAUUGAAACUUGCAGUUGCAUAGUUUUCGCACACAAGUAGCAUACAUCAGAAGUAACAUGGUCAUAAGGAAACUCAAGCACAGUACAUGGCUGAACCAAUUACAAAAUAUCAUAGUUGUUGAGACCAUUGUUCCCACAUUUCUACUCUGGUUCACCGAUGAUCCUGAGGAUGUUGCGGAUCUAGGAGUUUGAAGUAGAUUGAGUGUCUUCGGUGCUAUCAUGUUCCGUUGCAUCCUCACUAUAUGAUUGUAGCUGUGUGAAUUAUAUAUAAAGCAGUCAAACAUAUGCAAGUGUACAUAUACCUUCAUGUUGGUCAGGAAAUUAUAAGUACAUAUACAUUAAUGUUGUUUAUUUUAAAAUUACUCCUGAAGUGAUGGAACACAACGUCUUGAACUCUGAUAUACAAGUACAUGUAUGUGGUUAUCAAUGCGUGCAUUGCAGAGAAAGAAGCAAUGUAAGUUUGUAGAACCAAAAAAUAUUAGUACUGGAACUAACUUGUUAAAUCACAGUUCUGCAUGUAGCAUGUGAAAUAAGGAAAAGAACGUUAAUUUAACUAGGUGGGUCAAUUUAGAAAUGCACAUUAUAGUUGAAGCAAAAGUACUGGCUUGAGCACAUUGUAGGUACUUUCUUAAUUAUAAAGAAAAUAGCAUUACUGAAAUUAGAAAUACAUGUAUGUGGCUCUGAAUGUGUGCAUUGCAGUACCAGGAUUGAAUUUAAGGUACUGGGAAAACCAUGAAGAAAAGAACAUUAAUGUAAGUAGGUCUAUAAAAGUAGAAAGGUACAUUAUAGCUGAAGCAAAAGUACUGGCCAAACCAUAAAGAAAAGACAAUUAAUAGAGGUACCUGGGUUGAAUUAAAGCAAGGGUACUGUGUAUAUUAGACUCGAAAGAAGAAAGAAAUAUUAGUAAUACAUUGUAUAAGUAUAAACAGGAUGUACCAUAUUAGUAUAAUUGGAAAAAAAGUACUUAUAGUACUGCCAUUAGUGCUGAGGUUUGAACUCUGUACUGAAAUUUUACAUCAUGAAGUUACGUAAAGGAUGGAAGUACUAGAUGGAGGUUUGAAACCACAAGUACAAUUACAUGUAGUACAAGUACAUCUAUAAUGUACAAGUAUACAUAUACUACGUUUGAAACUACAAGUAUAUAUUAUAACUAAAGGUAUAGUUAGUACACUUGAAAAUGUAAGUACAUGUACGGGCUCGUUGGCGUGUGUAUUGGACAAAAGAAAGCAAGGGUACGGUGUACACUGGGGAGAAGAAAGAAAUAUUAGUAAUACAUAGUAUAAAUGAAACAACAUUUAUAUUAUAGUACAAGUAUAAACUGGAUGUACCAUUUUAGUAAAAUUGGGAAGAAAAUACUCAGAGUAGUGACAUUAGUGUUAAGGUUUGAAAACUGUACUGAAUUUGUCCAUCAUGAAGUUACCUAAAGGAUGGAAGUAGCAGAUAGAGGUUAGAAACUACAUGUACAAGUACAAGGUUAGAAACUACAAGUACAAGUACAUCUAUAUGUCGUAUAUUAUCAUGACUGUAGCAUAGUAGAAGUUCACAGUCUAGUUGUAAUAAAGUGGGUAAAUUUACAGUAGAACUAUUCGUUUCUAAAUUAGGAGUGAAGGUAUAGUUAGACAUUCAGAACUAUAGUACAAGUACGAAAUAGACUGGGUACAAUAAUACAUUUAUACAUAAGACUGGGUACAAGUUGAAACCAUUGUAAAUACUGGACGUACCAUUUUACAAGUUCAGUAAUACGGAAGUAGUUAGGCCAGAACGACAUCCACAACUUUCAAAAACUUGCACUGAUGUACACCUUCUUCACAAGUACUGCAUAGUAUAUUUUCAUGACAGAAAAUUCUCAGGGUAGUGGAUUCAAACUCAUGUACGGGGUCUUGUACAAUUUACGAAAGUACUUUGCGCAGAACAAGAUCCGCACCUUUUGAAAGACUCAUCUAUGGUUGGAAACUUGUACAUCAUUGUUUCCUAUGGCUCAAAUAAUAAGAAGAGCUUAUCGUUUCAUGUGACUAAUUAUAUGCUAAUGGGUUGGCAAUAUAUAUCAAUUUUUAAUAAAGACUUAAUGGGACUAUUCCCUUGAAAUAUAAUUUUUUUAAAUGCAAUACAGAUAUGAAAUAAAUUUGACACAAUAUUUUAUUAAAAAUAAAAAACUCUUUUUUUGGGUAAGUAAUAGGGGUGUUUUAUUAAAUGGGAAUAAUGUUCUUACAGGCCUGAGCGAGGGCCUCCUCGGCAAUGGUUGGAGGCUCGAGUUUGGUACUCUUCAUCGGAUGAAAUGUGGGAACUCGGACAGGUUCAAUCAACAAUCAAUUUCUAGAGAUGGAGAUGAAAUACUCCUGGCUAAUGCAGAAGUGAAUCUCAUGUUGCUACCACAGUACAAUUCUUUGAGUAAAAUUUUCUAACAUUAAUACUUAAGACAUUGUUUCUUUGCACAGGUUUUGACGCUGUCACAAGAAAGACUAUUGCCUGUUAACCCUGAUAUUCUAGAUGGGGUUGAUGAUUUCAUCCAGAUGAGCUACUUGAAUGCACCUUCUGUCCUUUACCAUCUGCAAUUUCGAUACCCUUGUGAUUUUAUCUAUGUAAGCACUAUCCAACAAUCUCAUUUGAUUGUUUAUGGUAUAGCCUCUUACUCUUCUACUUGUGUUCAUCAGGCAAUACAUGCAGCAGCUCAAGAAUGAUCCACAUGUAUGCAAUUGCUGAUUUGGCUUUUAAUGAAAUGCUAACUGGUAGGCAUUAAAAAAUAGAGUAGACAAUUUUAUAGAUAUGAUUAUUUUGCAAGACGCAUAUUCUAAUGCAACUGAUGAUACCCUGCAGAUAGCACAUAGCAAUGUAUAACAAUAAGAUUAGAAUUUUGUACCGUGCCUUUUAUAAUUGUAAAUUUGUAAUCACAGUUUAUCUUACAAACUCUGGUUGCCCAUUUCUUAUGUGGUGUAUGUGUUGUUUGUCUUAUGUCAGUGGUGAAAGUGGUGCAGGAAAAACCAAAACAACUAAAAUUGCUGUGCAAUAUUUGGCUCUCUAGGGGGUGCUAACGGAAUGGAGUCUGAGGUCUACAAACCAAUGUAAUUUUGGAAGCUUUAGGGAAUGCGAAAACAUCAAGAAAUGAAAACUCGAGCCGGUUCGAGAGUUCAUGUUCAUUUAAAAUUGUUGUCUUAUUGUCCAGCUCUCCAAUAUCAUUCUUAAAUAAUUCUUGUGAGACCUUGAUGGUUUUGAUGUAGAUGUAGGGAAAGCUCACUGAAAUAGUGAAAUGCACUUUUCUGAAACUGAGAAGAUUUGUGGUGCUAAAAUCCAAACAUCUAAGCCUUAUGUGAUGUUUAUUGUUUACUUAGGUAGAUGAUAUUGAUGAACUUCCUGAUAACUUGUUUAUUUGGGCGACAAUGUUAUCAUACCCUUAAUAUACUUUUUCUUUUGGAUAAAGGUCGCUAGAAACAGAGUAACGAGAUGCAAUAGAUGAUAGCAAAUUUCCUUUGCAAUUUCAGAACUUACUCAUGUGGUUAAUUAGAUGUUCUUUUUUUAGAAUUGAUUGACAUGUGCACAUCCAACUGUAUUAAAACGUGAAAACUUAAAGGCUAUGAACCAGAGGUGUGAAGACCUCCGAUGAAAGAAACCUAGUAUAAAAGAAGAGGAAAUAGAACGACUUGCUAGGAGUGGAUAACCAUCUAAGUUACCUCAAGAAUUAUCACCGUUGAUUCGCAACACUCGCUUCAUAAAACUGCAAGAUUUUGAUGAUAUAUCAUAAACACAAACACCAAAUAGUACAUUUACUCAAUCAUUUGAUUUUUAAGACUAUUUACUUUUCAGUAGCCAUGAAAACUUCCUUACUAUCAUGCGGUCCAACAUAUGAAUCUAGGUGCAGAAUUGUGGCAUUUCUAGAUCUGCAAUCUUGCUCAUUUUCCUCGUUAGGCAUGCAUAUGGCCGUCAAGCUCCAAUGUGUGACACCACUACACCACAAAAUGUCACCGGGAUGUAGUCUGAGAAAGCUAACUUUGAUGUAGCAUGAGAUUUUAACCAAAGACACAAAAAAUACUCACUCUGGAUUCACGGGAACAAACAUAUAUGACAAAUCACCAAUUUGUUCCAUGAAAUUUCUCCUAUUAAGCUAUUGAGUAAGAAAACAAUUAGAUGUAUAGCAUUUUUUUGCUGGUUAAUGAGAUGUAUAGCAUAAAGUUGAAGACAACAAAAUUUAGGAAUUUAUCUUCUCCCAACAUCUACAUCUAUCAAUGAUUUACAAAAUAAUGGGUCAACAAUCCGAUACUUGCUAUGUAUUGCACUCUUUUCAAGAUCAGGCAGUAACCACUUUCCUUGCAGAUGUUUGCAAGCACACCAUUAUGAUCACAUAUUUGGAUAAAAUGUAGCUUACUUUGCACGCAAAUCAGCGACUACGAAGAGCAAUAUUUACAAUGUAUAGGUUGCAAGUGCCCUAUCUUCCAUCUUUCGACCAGGCCGAAGAGAAUUUAAGACCCAACAAUUCAGUUGGCAAGACUGAUGACCUUCAUCCUCGCCGGCAGCAUAUAAAACAAAAUGUGAACAUUUCUGAAAAAAGGAUGCACACGUCCUACAGUAGUUGCAAGAAAAUUGUGUCAAUCAUAGCUUACCCUUUCAUUGUGUUCUGGCACAUUAGCAAGAUGGUCAGCCCUAAUCGCCUCAAGGUCUUGCUCACGCUUAUUCAACAUUUCAGCUAAUUCCUUUGAGAUUAUAGUUAUGUGGCCUGAAAGAAAAUUGACAGCUUUUGAGAAAGCCUCAAGUGCAUCGGAGGUCAUUGUAGCAUGUAGAGUGUUCUUCAGAAGACAGGCAACCUUCUUGUCAGUCUCAUUCAAGAUAACUUCCCCCUUCUCCAAUGAUUCCAAAAGGAGACUAAAAAUUUAUUAUCAAUUGCCUUCAACUUUGCCUCGAGACUUUCACCCUAGAUAAACCGAAUACGUAGGAAAUAUUAAACCCAGGACAGACAUGUAAACUAUGUUUAUAUGUCAUGAAUAUCAAUAUCAGCGUGUUCAUGAGUUAUGACAUUCAUUUAAUUUUUGAUUAUUUGCUCAUUUAUCUUAGAGUAAAUUUCACAGAAACACACUUUUUGUGGCAGUUGUCUCACAAAACCACGGUUGUUUGUAAUAGUCUCACAAAACCAUAACUUUUGGGGCAGCUGUUCUCAGAAAACCUAAUCUCAAUAAUUAAGCUAGUUGAUGGUUUUUCCGACAACGCGGGGCCACCAAUCAGAUGCCACGACAUCUUCCCCGACCCUUUUUCGACGCCACGUCAGCUGCCUUUGCUCUAAUGACAACUGGUGAUGUCCUGGGUUAGGUAGAAACGGACGUGGCAUCGAAAACGUGUUGGGGAAGAUGACGUGGCAUCUGACUGGUGGCCUCAGGUUAUCGGAAACACCAUCAACCGGUUUAAUUAUCGAGAUUAUGGUUUUCUGAAACCACCUGCCCCAAAAGUUGUGGUUUUGUGAGACUAUUAUAAACAACCGUGGUUUUGUGACAAAAAGUGUGGUUCCGUGAAAUUUACUCUUUAUCUUACUUGGGGUUGUGGAGACGAACCAUAUGAUCUACAUACACCAACAAAAAGCUUUUCACGAUAAACACUUCCUUCAAAAACAGAAUAUGCAAGAUCAUAUUGCAUAUUACUGGUUUCCCGUACAGAUCAUAUUACUUGACAUGGUGAUGUUAGAGGGCCUUGAUGUGCCCAAACCAGGGUACCCGCGCUUGAAUUUUGUUGAACAAAGACAUUUGUAUGGUCUGUUUGAUAUGAAGGAAGAAAAAGACUUGAGGAAUCUAAAGGUAAGUAAACAUGCUUGCUACGUUUUGAUAAAGUUGAUAUGGUUCCUAUCUAGGUAGAGAUAAUAUGCAAGAGGUAGUUCAAACUUUACAGUGCAAAGUCAGUGAGCUCCCACCGAAAUACUUGUGUGUGUUUAUGGGGUACCAUCAGAAUAUAUGAAUAGAGCAAAAGCAAAAAUAAGAUGCGCUUGUUUGAAAUUCUAACUUUCUGCAGUAAAGAAAAUUUGAAGAAAGUGUUUAUGGUGAAAAGCUUUCUGUUGGUGUAUGUAGCUCAGAUGGUUCGUCUUCACAACCCCAAGUAAGUAAAAUGAGCAAAUCAUAAAAAAUUAAGUGAAUGUCAUAACUCAUGAACACGCUGAUAUUCGUGACAUAUAAACAUAAUUUAUGACAUAUAAACAUAGUUUACAUGUCUGUCCUGGGUUUAAUAUUUCCUACUUGUUCGGUUUAUCUAGGGUGAAAGUUUCGAGGCAAAGUUGAAGGCAAUUGACGAUAAAGAAUUUAGUCUCCUUUUGGAAUCAUUGGAGAAGGGAGAAGUUAUCUUGAACGAGACUGACAAAAAGGUUACCUGUCUUCUGACGAACACUCUACAUGCUACAAUGACCUCCAAUCCUCUUGAGGCUUUCUCAGAUGCUGUCAAAGGAAUUAGCUGAAAUGAUGAAUAAGUGUGAGCAAGAACUUGAGGCGAUUAGGUCUGAGCAUUUUGCUAAUGUGCCAGGGCACAAUGAAAGUGUAAGCUAUGGUUGACACAAUUUUCUUUCAACUAUUCUAGGUUAUUCAUCACUUUUUCAGACAUGUUCACAUUUUGUUUUAUAUCCUGCCGAAGAGGAUGAAGGUCAUCAGUCUUGCCAGCUGAAUUGUUGGGUCUCAAAUUCUCUUCGGCCUGGUCACAAGAUGGAAGAUAGGGCACUUACAACCUAUACAUUGAAAAUAUUGCUCUCCAUAGUCACUGUUUUGCGUGCAAAGAUUUAUAUUUUAUCCAAACAUGUGAUCAUAAUGGUGUGCUUGCAGACGUCUGCAAGGGAAGUGGCUACUACCUGAUCUUGAAAAGAGUACAAUGCAUGGCAAUUAUCGGAUUAUAGACCCAUUAUUUUAUAAAUAAUUGAUAGAUAUAGAUGUUGAGAGAAGUUUCAGCAGAUCUCUAUCUUAAAUUCCUAAAUUUUGUUGUCUUCAACUUUAUGCUAUUGUACAUCUAAUUGUUUUCUACUCAGUAGCUUAAUAGGAGAAAUUUCAGAAAACAGAUAGGUGAUUUGUCGUAUAUGUUUGUUCCUGUGAAUCCAGAGUGAGUAUUUUUGUGUCUUUGGUUAAAUCUCAUGCUACAUCAAAGUUAGUUUUCUCAGAAUACAUCCCGGUGACAUUUUGUGGUGUAGUGGUGUCACACAUUAGAGCUUGGCGGCCAUAUGCAUGCCUAAGGAGAAAAAUGAGCAAGAUUCCACAUCCAGAAAUGCCACAAUUCUGCACCUAGAUUCAUAUGUUGGACCACAUGAAAGUAAGGAAGUUUUCAUGGCUACUGAAAAGUAAAUAGUCUUAAAAAUCAAAUGAUUGAGUAAAUGUACUAUUUAGUGUUUGCGUUUAUGAUAUAUCAUCAAAAUCUUGCAGUUUUAUGAAGCGAAUGUUGCGAAUCAAUGGUGAUAAUUUUUGAGGUAACUUAGAUGGUUAUCCACUGCUAGCAAGUCGUUCUAUUUCCUAUUCUUGUUAUACUAGGUUUCUUUCAUCGGAGGUCUUCACACCUCUGGUUCAUAGCCUUUAAGUUUUCACGUUUUAAUACAGUUGGAUGUGCACAUGUCAAUCGAUUCUAAAAAAAGAACAUCUAAUUAACCAUAUGAGUAAGUUUUGAAAUUGCAAAGGAAAUUUGCUAUGGUCUAUUGCAUCUCGUUCCUUCUCGUUACUCUGUUUCUCGCAACCUUUAUCCAAAAGAAAAGUAUAUUAAGGGUAUGAUAAAAGUGGCUUGCUAAGGUGAAGAGGUGAAGGAGCUAAGGUGGUGCGAUUUCAUGGUGGACUAUUUGGUAGCAGGUAUCAUGAGAUGGACGGGGAGAGGUGGAGUGGAACCACCUUCACCAACAAUAAGAGGAAAUGUACUGCUGCUGUUUAUAAGUAUCUCAUAAAUGUUCAGUUCUGAAGUAAUUUACUUGCAAAUAUUUUGUCUAAUGACGUUAUGUUCUUUUUUACUGAUUUCCCAUACAGAUCAUAUUGCUCAACAUGGUGGUGUUAGAGGGCCUUUAUGUCCAAAAUCCAGGGUACCCGCGCUUGAAUUUUGUUCAACAAAGACAUUUGGAUGGUCUGUAUGAUAUGCUGAAGGAAGAAAGAGACAGAGAAAUUGAGAAGAAAUUAAGAACGGCGGAGAGGUGGAGAGGCACAGGGGCAAGAGAAAUCGAGAAGAAAUUGAGAAACUGAGGUGAGGGGGCUGACCUGGGGCGCCGGCGAGUGGUGGCGAAGCAGGAGCAGUUGGGGCGCCGGCGAGUGGUGGCGGAGCAGGAGCAGUUGGGCCGUUGCUCGCUGGCCUUUCCCUCCCUUUCCCGAAUCCUGGCAUUUCCCUCCCGCGCCCCGACCUAUACACAGCCCGAAAUUUUUUCUGACAUGUGGGCUCUCACGAGAAGUCGGGAGACUCGCCACUGCCUGUCGCCGACUAGUCAGAGCAAGUCUCGAGCGACUCUCCCCCUGCCCAGACUUGGAGACUAGUCGGCGACUCAAAGAUCAUGAGGAGUGUUGAGAUAUUUAAUUUGAGCUUCCGAAGCAAGUAUAGCUGCAGAGUAAAACACCCUUUUUGAGAGGCUGCAUAGAAUAAAUUAAAAACCUACGAAAACAUGUAAGAAAAAUACAUAAUUUUUUUGACAAAGUGUCUCUAAAGAGAGUUUAUUAUGUCCCUAAAAAAAUACUACAUCUGUUUCAUAAUUCUUGUGUCAAAUUUGUCCAAAAAUGGAUGUAUCUAUUUUUAAAAAGCGUCUAGAUACAUGUAAUAUUUCGAUAAGAAUUAUGGAACGGAGGGAGUAUAUGUGCUCACAAUGUUUAGAUGAAACCCAGUGUUAUGAAAAAAAUAAGAACUUAGAGGACUUUGUAAACACCCUAGCGACCGCAUAAUGUAACACAACUGAAGCAAAAAAAAUCAAGUCCAAGUAGCAGGUCACUCAAAAGAGAUCAUAUAGCAGUACAGCAAUAAUGAAGACAUGUAAGCAGAUGCAUACAGAAGAAAAAUAUAGACUUGUGGCCCCAGUGGAGAGCCAACCAUGUGAUCGAUGUUUUCAUCAUGAGCCCUUAAUGUAGAAGUAAGCUCUUGAUUAUUUACCAUGAUGUUCUAUUACUAAGUACUUAUGCAGCCAUUUUCCAAAUUUCAAUCAUCAACCUUUCUGAAGGAAAAAUAAUUUGUACAGAACACAUAAACAUCGGCUUAGCUUCCCGCAGCAAUGAUACAAUGCAAGGAAAGAAGCAAAUGAUAAUCAAAAUUCAGUUUACCAGGCUUAGCUAGCUGUCUCUUUCGCUGCAAAAGAACAUAGCUGAAUUCAGGCAGACAUGCCACACAAUGCUAACAUGUAAGAUCAAGUCAGUCCCUACAUUCAUGCGCUACACUGGACAAAAUCCUGAUAGCAACACCCCAUCCAUGGAACUAUGGAAGGACAGUUUAUCCAAUGUUCAGAAUUGACCUCUGAAUGCAGUGUGCAAUCAGAGCAUGUACCAAAGCAAACGCUAAUUAACCAUGGAAAGCAAUAGGCACACAACCAGACAAGUCGACCAAAUGAGAACAAAGAAGAAUGAGUUUAACCACAAGCAAAGCAACAGAGACAACAAUAUCAGAAUCAGAAGGAAAGGACCUAACCUAUUGCUCACCGGAGCUCGAGCACCAUGCCCUCUUCGUUGCCUUGCGAUCCGAGUUCUACAAACGAAGAAAAAAAUAGCAACUGAGUUCUAGAAAGGAGAACUCCUCAAAGAAAGCGGUCAGCCUGGUGAACUGACCUCUUUUCUCACCGUAGCUCCUCCAGCUCCCCUUUCUUCGCUUGUCUUCCGAGUUCUGUUCUACAAAUCACAGAGACACAACAAGUAAGAAGGAAAAAUUGCAUUAGCAGGAUGAGGGAGGACAAACUCUAGAAAUUUGCAAAUACCACCUGUUGUUGUUCUCGACAACAAUUAGAGUAAGUGGUGCCAAUGCUCGAUGGCACAAGUGCGGGUAUAAAAGUAGGGCGUGUACGCCGACCUUAUAGCGAAGGUCACCGUACACUUGGACAAGUUGACACGUCGAUAUUUUUUGAAUAGGUUCAGUCGACCCUGUGGGUGCGACUUAAUCCUAUGUUAGGAAAGGCUUCGAGGGGGUUGUUAGCCAAGGGGUUGGGCCGAGCGGAUCUUCCCAAGACACCUUUUGGCGAGAGGUUCGUCGGGGCCGCCUCGUACGUGGACCAAGCGCGUCUUUCCAAGUAUCGAUGUUAGGAUACCCUCGGAACUCUAACCCAACCCCUUCUCCUUCGAGCCUGUGCCAACCAAGGUUAGCUCGGAGCCUCGAAACUAGAGUCCCCUAGAAGGCUUCCUCAAGGCCGAUCGAUUUUCAGUCAAGAGCGGCGCGCGAGAGCAAACAUUAGAGGGAGCACUCUAGCCCUCUCCCCUUGAAUUUAUUCAAAUGAGAGUGAAUGGUACAUGCCCCCAUGGGAGGUAUUUACAGCCUAGGGGUCCAUGAAAAAAGACCAUGGCUACCCUUGAGGGAGAGAGAAAAGUGGGGGCAAAAUGGUAAAAGUAGCUCUUUCGGUCCAUAUCUUUUGUGUGCACCAUGAGGGGGAAGUGAGGGAUGGUCCAUGGUCCACCAUGGACCAAAAGCCUCAUCCCACACCUUUCUUGCCUCCUAGUCUAACUCAUUUGACCCUUUGACCAUGGCAUGAGAGGCUUGACUUGUUGACUUGUCUUCCUUUGCCACGUAGGAUUGAUCGCGCCACGUGGGCGUCUUGACUCGUGCUUGGGAAACGUUGACUUGGUCGUCGCCACGUAGGAUUUACGGCCCGGCCCAUAUAAGGAUUUUAUUUUACUACAACAGUAGCCCCCUUGAGCUGGAGGCAUUGAGAAUGCCUUCGGGUCAACCUUCGAUGCAAGACCUUUGAUCUCUUUUCUCGUUCUUGGAUUCACGAUGGUACCUUGGAUGGAUUCCCUGGCGGGCUCCCUUGUGAGAAACGGAGGUACUUGGUGUUUUUCCUGCAAAGAACAUGAUCCUUGGAGGCGUUGCGGGGAAAUUCCAUGCCCGCGGUGAAUUUCUCUGCGAGAAAUCGAGUUUCGGGAGGUAUUUUAGCAAAAACCGGGAUCUUAGGGGCCUCUUUGCGAGAAAUCCGGUGUCUCGGAAGACUUUUCUGUAAAAAUCAGGGGCCCGCAUCCCCAAAAUUUCCGGGGUCUUAUUGGCAAUUUCUCCCAAAAUCUUGGGUUUUUUGCACUUUUCCGCGGGUCUUGUCGGUCGCACGGGCUAGCCGGGCCGUCCUGGCUCGUGCGCGGACGCGGACUGGGCCGACAUUGCGCGCGAGUUGGGUCGCCUUCGGGCGCGCCACAGUUUUUUUUAUUUCGGCCGUUAGUUGGGCCGCUCCUGGGCCGUGGCCCGGUUUGACCCGAUACCGGUUCGCAACUUAAGUCGCGUGAUCGGACGGCUCUGGACGAAGGGGCGCCCUAGAUCCAAGGGUCGGGGACCCUUCUUCCUCCCCCGUACGGGAAAGGGAAAGGUGGCCGGAGCCGACCACCUUUUCUCCGUCCUGGGCGCGAUGACGCCGGCGAGGGUGACGCCAGGGCGGGCCGUUCGGUCGGGGCGGCCAGGGGAGCCCCCCUCCCCCUUCCUCCUUUUCUUCCCUCCUUUUUCUUUGGCAAAGUUGGGCUUCUUGUCUCUUCCUUGCUUUGGACAGUGCAUAGGAUGGCGAGGUGUCGCCCCGCCAUUGGCGCGAGAGCGAACCUUAGAGGGAGCACUCUAGUCCUCUCCCCUUGAGUUUAUUCAAGUGAGAGUGAAUGGUACAUGCCCCCAUGGGGGGUAUUUAUAGCCUAGGGGUUCAUGACAAAAGACCAUGGCUACCCUUGAGGGAGAGAGAAAAGUGGGGACAAAAUGGUAAAAGUAGCUCCUUUGGUCCAUACCUUUUGUGUGCACCAUGAGGGGGAAGUGAGGGAUGGUCCAUGGUCCACCAUGGACCAAAAGCUUCAUCCCACACCUUUUUUGUCCCCUACUCUAACUCAUUUGACCCUUUGACCAUGGCAUGAGAGGUUUGACUUGUUGACUUGUAUUUCUUUGCCACGUAGGAUUGACUGCGCCACGUGAGCGUCUUGACGCGUGCUUGGGAAACGUUGACUUGGUCGUCGCCACGUAGGAUUUACAGUCUGAGCACUAGCAACUUUUACUGUUCUCUCUAUGCUCCAUUUUUAAGUAUAUUUAUGGUACAUGACAUAUUUUUAAGUACAUAUUCAGUACAUAAUGUAUAUGAAAUGUAUCUUAUUAAUUUUUUAAAUACCUCACGUACUUGAACUUAUGAGAUGUGCACAUCAUAAUACAUAACAAAUACAUUAAGGUACAUGUCAAGUACAUUAGAUUACAUGACAAUAUAUCGUCAAUUUCAUGUACCUCAUCAAUUUAAGUACCCUGUCAAUACUCAUGUACACCACGAUUACAAUCAAAAGUACUAAGUACCUUCUCAACGUACAGUACAUGAUAGUACCUUCUCAAUUCUCAAAUUACAUCACAGUACAUGAUAAGUACCUUCUCAAUUCUGAAUGUAGACAGACAAAAAAAGAAGAAAUAAUCCAAGUGCCUCAUCAUAUCAAGAGUGUGUACAUCAAUUCAUAGUAGUACACAGUGUACCAGGACAAAAUCACACUAGGAACAAUCAUCAAAACACAGUACCUCUCAUGGAUCUGACAUAGAAAAAAAGAAUAGAUGCGGAGGACAACGCGGCGGCGGUGGCCGAACCCAUGACCAGGGACCUGGCCCCUCCUGCUUCAAGGCCGAUGCGUCCACUUCUUGGCUGCCUUCUUGGAGUGGGGGCAGCGGUGAGCAGAGGCGUCCGGGUGCACGGGGAGGAGAUGAGGAGGAGGAGCGGGGGCAGCCUAGGCUGGGAUGGCCGGCCCCCACCCCGGGCUGGAGAACCUCCACGGCCACAGCAAGCUGCCAUGCGGGCAGCAACAACACCGAGAUUUGGGGAAGGGGAAGGGGCCGAGCUCCCCUCACAUCACGGAGCAGCUCUCAAUAGGUGGAUUCGCAUGGGAGGAAGGAGAGGAGAGAGGAAAACCAUGGGAGGAAGCACAGAGAGGAACGCUGGGACAUCUACUAAUCACUUGGGCAGAGUUGCUGAGGGAUUAAUAGAGAGAGAGAGAGGGGGGGGGGGAGGAAGCAAAGAGAGGAACGCUGGGACAUCUACUAAUCACUUGGGCAGAGCUGCCGAGGGAUUAAUAGAGAGAGAGAGGGGGGGGGAGGAAGCAAAGAGAGGAACACUGGGACAUCUACUAAUCACUUGGCAGAGCUGCUGAGGGAUUAAUAGAGAGAGAGGGGGGGGGGGGCAUAGGAAAUGCUUGGCUGAGACGGAGGGUGUAGAUCAAGGGAGGUGCACCGGGAGGUUUGGCGAUAAACUAUGUACGUGUUUGUAGUACUACUAACAAGGAGCACGUGCAAUGCCACCUGUUGUAGUAAAAUAAAACCCUUAUAUGGGCCGGGCCGUAAAUCCUACGUGACGACGACUAAGUCAACAUUUCCCAAGCGUGAGUCAAGAUGUUCACGUGGCGCAAUCAAUCCUACGUGGCAAAGGAAGACAAGUCAACAAGUCAAGCCUCAUUCCAUGGUCAAAGAGUGAAAUGAGCUAGAGCGGGGGGCAAGAAAGGUGUGAGGAUGAGGCUUUUGGUCCAUGGUGGACCAUGUACCAACCCUCACUUUCCCCCUCAUGGUGCACACAAAAGCUAUGGACCUAGGAGCUACUUUUAUCAUUUUGCCCCCACUUUUUUUUCUCCCUCAAGGGUAGUCAUGGUCUUUUGUCAUGUACCCCUAGGAUCUAAAUACUCCCAUGGGGGCAUGUAUCAUUCACUCUCAACUUGAAUAAACUCAAGGGGAGAAGGGCUAGAGUGCUCCCUCUAAGGUUCGCUCCCGAGUGUCGCUUUCGACUAAAAGUCGACCGGCCUCGAGGAAGCCUUCUAGGGGACUCUAGUUUCGAGGCUCCAAGCUAACCUUGGUUAGCACGGGCCCGAAGGAGAAUGGGUUGGGUUAGAAUUUCUAGGGUAUCCUAACCUCGAUACUUGGAAAGACGCGUUCGGUCCAAGUACGAGGCGGCCCCGACGAAUCUCUCGCUAAAGGUGUCUUGGGAAGAUCCGCUCGGCCCAUGCACUUGGCUAAUAACCCCCUCGAAGCCUUUCCUAACAUAGGAUUAAGUCGUACCCGCAGGGUCGACCGAACCUAUUCAAAAAAUAUCGACGUGUCAACUCGUCCAAGUGUACGGUUACCUUCGCUAUAAGGCCAGCGUACACGCCUUACUUUUAUACCCGCACAUAUGCUAUCGAGCAUUGGCACCCCUUACUCAAAUUGUUGUCGAGAACAACAACAGUGGCGCCGACCGUGGGGAACCCUUGCCACAAUUGAAGAUUUAAUGGCCCCGACGAAGCCUACUUCAUCGGGUGCCCAACUUGCCGCGAAGUCUACCUGGUUGCAAACAAAGAAAGCAAGCGCCUCGGGGGCUCCCGAGGAAGAAUUAAUCCUCACCAAUCCAGACGUUGCCGCAAGCAUGGUCGCUACGACGGAAGUCGUGGCCGCACCUCCGCUCCCGGCCAUCCCAGGAGGAACCGAGGUGCUCAAAACCGUCGUAGGCGGUCCCUCGACACUUGCCAACGUAGUUAUAAGGAUUGGCGAACUGCCUACGGUUGCCGCCCCCGUAGGGGAUACGGAACUCGACAUGCCUCGCUCGAUGGGCUUCGCGCCACCUUCCCUACAACCGGUAGUGACCUUGACCUCGGAACCUACAUGUGGAAACAAUGUGGCGUCUGGAGGAUCCGUGCCAGAAAACCAAGGAGUCCCGGCUUACGACCCCUCCAACCGGGGUCUGCCUCCGCUGGUGCUCGCCGUGAUCGCCCAUGGAGCUCCUUGGUAUCACCCUUAUUGGGGGUUUCCUCCAAACAGCGCUCUCCAAGUCGAGCAUGCUCAACGCCAACCUCAUUUGAUGAACGCCCCGCAAGUGCCCCUUGCUCCCCCCGCCGGGGUCAAGCAAGGUGGCAACCAAGUACCACCUCAGGCUGCGCCUCGCAGAGAACGAGACCCCAGCGUGCAUGGAAAUGAGCAAGUGGCGGGGUCCGGAGCACGUGCCGGCGGUGAAAGAAAUUCCCGUCGACGCUCCGACCCCCCCAAGAAAACGCCGAGGUGACUCUCCAAGCGACCCUUCUAGCGACGAAGGCGACUCCAACGAGUGAGGACCUCGCCGCCAAAGGAACCGGAAGACCAGGUCUACUUGUAGCCCGCUCACACGGGAGAUCCAAGACGACUUUUCCGCCAAGGUUCAAGCCGCCUACAAUACGGCUGUACGACGGGGAGUCAAAUCCUCUUUAGUUCCUGGAUGUCUACUCCACCGCCAUACAGGCUGCUCGGGGAGGUCCCGUCGAGAUGUGCAACCUUUUUCGCUCGCGCUCACCGGGAUGGCUCAAACUUGGUUUUAUAACCUGCGGAAGAACUCCGUGCACUCGUGGGAGCGCCUCCAAGAGGUCUUCAUCGCCAACUUUUAGGGAAAAUUCAAAAAACCCGUGCAGGCUCACGAGCUAUACGCCCUGAAACAAAAGCCGGGGGAAUUCCUCCGAAGCUUUUUCCAUCGCUUUGCGAAGGUACGAAGCCAAAUCGCCAACCCACCAUCGACCAUCGUGAUCGACGCAUGCAUGCAAGGCCUUCUCCAAGGAGAAGUGAAUCGGGCCCUAAGUCGCAACCCUCCAAAGACGACCGAUGAGCUCUAUCGAAUCUUGCAAGAAUACGCCCGAGGCAAAGACGGAGACAUUGCCAAAAAAGAUGCGCCGCGCGCCGCUCCUGAAGGAACUCCCUUGUCCGACAAACCCACUGCGCCUACUUCGUCUUCCAAGAAGAAGAGGAGGUGGGGAAAAAAGGCCCCCGGCGACCAAGCCCGGAAGAUCUUCGUCGUCAAAGGACAAGCAUCGUCCCAAAAGACUUGACAACCCAAGAAGCCACAUCGCCCCGCCGAGGGAGGAAUUGGAAGAUGCCUCGUCCACAACUCGGCAAGCCACAACACCAAAGAGUGCAACACUCUCAUCACGGCUCGCGAAGAGUUUCAGGCACGAAUGCAAGCCCGGUGCAAGGAUGAGAAGACAGUCGAGACUCCACACCCUGCCAAUGUCCUUGUCGCUGACCCGGCACCUAAGGAGGAUAACCUCCCGUUUCAGGAACCCGCGCAUCAUGUCGUAGUGAUACUCGGGGGCUCCGCCACAGGCCGGGGAUCGAAGCGGCAACGCAAGAAGUAUGCUCGCGAAGUCAAGAUCGUGGGAACCUUCACCCUGACACCACCACCAAAGUGGACGAGCGUCCCAAUUUCCUUCACCGAGGAAGAUGCCAAGGGGAUACGCUUCCCACAUGAUGAUGCCCUCUUCGAGACAGCGAUCGUCGCCAAUUGUGAGCUCAAGAAAAUUCUUGUGAAUGGUGGAAGCUCCGCCAACAUCCUUUAUUUGAGCACGUUGAAGAAACUGAUGGGACCACAAGGGGGAUACAAGAACGGCUCGUUGCAGCCAUCCCUUUAUCCUCUCACCGGCUUCGUGCCAGAGAAGUCCAUUCAGCCGCUCGGACAAAUUGAGCUCUUCAUGACUUUCGGAGACGCCACGAAUUAUCGAACCGAGCUCAUGCACUUCGACGUGGUGGAUAUGGAGGCCUCCUUUAACGCCAUCCUCGGAAGGACGACGUUAAAUCGUCUCUGCGCCGCCAUCCACCACAACUUCUUGUGCAUGAAGAUCCCGGGCCCAAAGGGCGUGAUAACGGUCCGCGGCGAGCAAUCUUCCGAUAGGAAGUGAGAAUCAAGUGCACCGAGACCAAGUGCGCCGAGUGCGCCGGGAAGGGAGAAUGAUCCAAGAGUAUCAACAUGCUUUCGAAUGCGGGAGCAUCCGAAACUGGCCACCCGGAGCGCUACAUCCCUAAGCCCCUACCCGAAGGAGAUCUUAAGGAAGUACGCGUCUCCCAAGAUGACACCACACGCACGGUGAAGAUCGGAGGCGACCUCCCGAGCAAACUCGAGGAAGAACUUGUCGGCCUACUUCGAAAGAAUUCUGACCUCUUCGCUUGGUCACCUUCCAACAUGGGAGGAGUCCCGCACGACGUCAUGGAGCAUUGCCUCGCCGUAAGGCCCGACAAAGCUCCCGUGAAGCAAAAGCUUUGAAAACUCUCCACCGAGCGAAGCGAAGUCAUCAAGCAAGAAAUUGCCAAGCUCUCCGAUGCCGGGAUCAUUCGAGAAGUUUGGCAUCCCGAAUGGUUAGCCAAUCCGGUCUUGGUGAAGAAAACCAACGGCAACUGGCGAAUGUCUGUCGACUUCACCGUCUCGAACAAGGCAUGCCCCAAGGAUGAGUACCCGCUCCCUUGGAUCGACCAACUAGUCGACUCCACGGCGGGAUGCGAAACGUUGAGCUUCUUGGACCCCUAUUCAGGAUAUCGCCAAGUCCACAUGGCCAAGGAAGACGAGGAAAAGACCAGCUUCAUCACUCACAUCGGCACCUUCUGCUGUCGCAGGAUGCCUUUUGGUUUGAGGAACGCCGGCGCAACUUUUCAACGCCUCGUCAGCCUCAUCCUCAAAGAACAAUUGGGGAGGAACGUCGAAGUAUACGUUGACGACGCCGUCAUCAAAAGUCAAAUUGCGAAAACCCAUCCCAAGGGCCUACAAGAAACCUUCGACAAUCUCCGCAAGUAUAGUGUGAAGCUCAAUCCGGAGAAAUGCGCAUUUGGAGUUCAAGGAGGAAAACUCUUGGGCUUCCUUGUCUCUCAACGAGGGAUCGAGGUCAACCCGGAGAAAAUUCGGGCCAUCCUAGAGAUGGAGCCUCCUCGCUUCGUCAAAGAGGUGCAACGCCUAGAGGGAAGAAUGGUGGCCUUGGGACGAUUCGUUGCCCGAUCAGCCGAGAAGGGUCUUCCUUUUUUCAGAGCCUUGAGGAGCCUCGACAACUUUGAGUGGACCGACGAAGCUCAAAGGGCCUUCGAAGAGCUCAAGACCUAUUUGUCGACCCGUCCACUUCUCACGAGCCCAAAGCAGGGGGAACCUUUGCUCAUGUACCUUGUCGCGACCCCAGUCGCCGUAAGUGCAGCACUCGUGAAGGGAGAAGACGGGUCACAAUGUCCGGUAUAUUACGUGAGCGAAGCCUUGGGAGGAGCAAAUGGUCGAUUCACCUAGAUCGAGAAGAUCGCGUACGCCCUCCUCAUGGCCUCUCGAAAGCUCCGUCAUUACUUCAUGGGCCACACCAUCAUGGUACCAACUAUCUUCCCACUCAAGGAAGUCUUCGGCAACAAGGAGACCACCGGAAGAAUCGCCAAAUGGGCAAUGGAAUUGGGUCCUUUCUCGUUGGAACUCACGACGAGAAAGGCCAUAAAAUCCCAAGUCCUGGCUGACUUCGUGGCCGAUCAGCACGCUCCACUAGUCCCGCUCGAAGAAAUCACAUCCAAGACCGAGCCUCCCGAACCACAUUGGAUAAUGAGGUUCCAUGGCUCCAAGCGCCUCGACGGUGCGGGGGCUGGAGUCGUACUCGUCAGCCUCAAAAGCUAGAUCUUGGAGUACGCCGCCCAUCUUGACAUUAAUGCCACCAACAAUAUGGCAGAAUAUGAGGCGCUCCUUUUCGGACUUCGAUUGGCCAAGGCCAUAGGGGUUCGACGCCUCCUCAUCCAAGGAGACUCCCAACUGGUGAUAAACCAAAUGAACAAGUCAUAUCAAUGCCUUGAUGAAAGGAUGAAGAAGUAUAUCGAAGAGGUUUGCAAGAUGGAACGGUAUUUCCUAGGCAUGGAGGGGCGACGCAUUCCACGUGGAAAAAAAUCACCUGGCCGACAGGUUAGCCCGAACGGCCGGUUCCAAAGAACCGCUGCCACCCGGUGCAUUCUUCGAAGUAAUUCGCACCCCGUCCAUAAAGGAGGAAGCCGAUACCCUUGAUGAAACUUCAAUGACCAGCAUGGUUAUCAAUAGUCAACCUUCUUGGAUGACUCCAAUUAUCCACGCUUGGAAAGACGAGGUGGACAAAGAAGCAGAAGGGCAAUACGCCAAAACUCUGCUUGCAAAAGCCGGGUUGUACGUCCUACUCGAUGGCAUCCCACACAAGAAGGGCAUCGCUGCUUUGCUUAAAUGCAUGCCCUCGACCAAGGAGCCAAACUCCUACCCAAGGUCUACUCGGGAAUAUGCGGCGAUUAUCUUGCGCCAACCGCGACCUUGACAAAAUCCUUGCACUAGAGGUUCUAUCGGCCAACAAUGAUGCAAAGCCCAAACCCAAGGGGAGAGGGCUAGAGCAACCUAAUGGGCCUGCUCCCGAGUGCUCGGGUCGAGCCUAGUCUCGACACGACCUCGGGGACGCACCAUAGGAAGCCUAGUUUUGAGGUUCCGGGUUGUCUAGUAUGGCCUCGACUCGAAGUAGAGGGAUCGGGUUAGAGUCUUGAUGGUAUCGUUGUUGGAGAUAUGCCCUAGAGGCAAUCAUGUGAUGAUGUUAUUUCCUAUGUAUUCAUGAGUUAUUGUUAUUGUCCUUGAACAUCAUCACUGAUAUGUAUCAAUAAAUACGUGAUUUGUUUGUGAGACUAUGUAUUCUAUGAUGUUGUUCUAAUGGUCCCUAGUCAUUGAGGUUAUGCGGACACAUAAUCUAGACUAGCAAUGUGAAUCAGUAUGAUGACUAUGUUUCACAAGUCAUAGGGCAAGGUGUUGCCGACUGAUAGCAUGGACUCGACAAUGAGAUUGUUGAGUCGGACAGACCCGCACUGAGACACAACGAGAUAAUUGUCAUUUGUUAGUCUCAAGUACGAUGUAUAUGCCAGUCCUAGACCUGAGGUCAUCGCAUGAGCUUGGGAUGUGAAUCGGCCUACUUAGGGGUUACCAAACGCUACUCCGUAACUGGGUGGUUAUAAAGGUAGCUUUCGGGUUUGCUGAGAAGCAUGCUGCGAGUCAUGGUUGAACAAGAUGGGAUUUGCCCCUCCUGUUCGGAGAGAUAUCUCUGGGCCCUCUCGAGUGAUCAGAUUCGGAAAGCAUGGCCAUGCGACUUGGGUUAAGUGUUAACCCGUUCGGGAAUCUGUAUCACAGGAACGAGAAGAGACUCGAGCUAUCCACAAGGAUGACAAGCACUCGCCUUGAGCUCGACACACAUAUCGUGAGGCAAAAGGAAUGUUGCAUAUGACACAUUGUAUGGUUCGUCAAUAUACCUUGUGGUUACUUGGGAGUUGGCAUGUGCUGCUAGGCGCCGCUACCAACUAUCGACUUGAGUCGGUGCUAGUGGACGAGUAAGGUGUUACUCGGGCCCGCAGUCCGAGCUCGUAGUCGUGUCCGACUGACCGCGAACCUGAAGGGUCACACGCUUAAGGGGUGGGAACCGAGUUGGAUCGGAUCCAACUCGUAUCAGGCUUAGACUCCUAACGGGCCUCAAGUGUUGAGCCCACUAGGGACGUCUAUAUAAGUGGAGGAGACCAACCCGUCUAGGGUUACACCAAUCCAGACGCGAGUUAGACUCGGCCGUCACACCUCCACGCCCAAAGCCUUGCGAUCGGAUCUAGCAGUCCGCCGCACGGAGUUUCUCCCUGUACGUGUGGAUACCUCAGAGGCGCUGCACCUGCGGCGCUUGGACGAACUGUUCGUGGGAUCGGCGAGGAGGAGCAGGCUGUUCGACUACUCGGCAUCGACGCGCUACAUCGACUCUACUUCCGCUACGGGUCUGCGCGUCUAGUGGUAAUCUCGUGAUCCAUUAUCUACAGCAUUGAUCCGGGCGGAAGCGGUAGAAAUUUUAUUUUGUGCUAGCGUAGCGUACCGCGUUCCCCAACAAUCGUAACCUCGCUACUUGGGAAGACGAGUUCGGCCCAAGUCCGAGGCGGCCCUGAAAGUUCUCUUGCAAUAAGUGACUUGGGAAGACGAGCUCGGCCCAAGCACUUGGCUAACGACCCCCUCGAAGCCUCUCCUAACAUAGGAUUAAGUUGAACCCGCAGUGUCGACAUAACCUAUUAAAAAAUUUCCCGUGAAAUGGCUAUUUGCCCGCAAGGGAACGGACCUUCUCGGGCCCUCCGCUCGCACGCAACUGGGCUGGGAACAUGUCAUGGUAACCAAUUGCCACUUCUCCAAGAAGAUCAAUGCAUAAACACUUCCUUGAAGGAUUUAUGUCGCAAGUCAUCCAAAAGUUCUAGGAAAAACGUCAAUUAACCGAAAUGAUGUCCCGUAAGAAUUAGACUCAAGGGAAUUCAUAAAAUUCCGCGACCAUCUGGAAGAUGAAAGUACACUUCACCUCCAUGGCUUAUCUGAAGACAAACGGCAUAGUCAAAAGAGCCAACGGACUCACCCUCUAGGGGGCUUCACCAAGCAGUCAAAAGUAUGAUAAGAAAAGAGGAAUGCGAGCCAAUAGGCUCGUCAAAGUUGUGGUUUGAGGAAUACACACCUCUGCAAGCCACUCCACAGGCCGGACACCUUCAUUUUGGGUGCAUAGGAGCAAAAGCAAUGCUCUCGGUCAAAAUCGGGCGCCAUGCGCUCACUUCAAGAGGAAAGGGCUCCAAGAAACCACCGCCCUCGCCUUCGUGAAAAAUGAAGAGCAUCAAAUCGAGGAAACUCCCGACGGAGACCUCAUGAAGCGUGCACCUAUAAGCAGAGUGCAACUCGCUUAAACAAAACAAGGACCUGAGAGUGAUUCUCCCCCGAGAAGACCUCAACCCGAAGCUCUGGCACGAGCUCGGCCCCAAGUGGGAAGUACCCUACCGCAUCGCGGCCAAGAGGGAAUUGAAGAUAGCACGCAUGCCAUCCUGAAAACAUAAAGGGAUAACUCCUCAUCAAUGCUUGGAGCCGGCAACGAGCUGCCACUACUAUGCCUAAAAAGGCCGGAGUAACCAAGGAUGCGCCUCCGACCCUUCGGGCGAGUAUAAGUGCCAAGCCAGUCAUUUUCGCCAAGGGAUUAUAAGCGCCCUCGAGGCCAUCUCCUCAAAAAGAAGGGAAAGGGAUGUGAGCACAAUCAUCAUUGGAAAAAAUAAGGUAGCACAUUAUCAUAUGUGUAACCUUGGCAUGUGUGGGCACUCAAAAGAGGCUCACCGUCGCCGAAAGGGAAAACCUUGUCACGUGGCAUCGCCGCGAAAGGAUAAUCCUCCUCGUGGAGAGUUGCUGCCCAAGUGCCGCUCUCCAAACUUAUCAUGGGAAGCCUACACUGGCCUAGGUAUUUCCCACGCGGCAUCACCGCAAAGGAGAACCUUGUCAAGCGGCACCCCCGCGAAAGGAAAAUCCUCCUCAAAAAGAGUUGCUGCCCCAGUGCCGCUCGCCAAGGAAUGCUAGGAGGCCAACGUUGGCUCAAAGCAUCUCCCAAAAUGUCUCCGGACAUAAUUGCCUCAUUGGCAACCCGUUCCUUGGUGGAUCCUAGUGUGCCCUGAGGCCAUCAACCAGGCAGAACCAAGUCCCUCGAGGGCCGGAAGCUCCUUAAAACGCAUUUAAGGAGAACCGUAAAUAAGCGAGUUAUGCAUGAGCUUACUUACCUCGGAGAACCAUGCUACCCGUGCACGAGACGUCAUGCAUGGGCCUAUGUGAUAGUAACCGAGUUAAGACUCCAUAAUAAUCACAGGAAAGCAUAGCUUCCUGAAGUCCGAAGAGGGAAAAUUCCGCAUGAAAUUUCUCAAACGGCAGGUCAAAAUGUCCGGAUCACUACCGGCAUAUCGAUAGCGACCUCGCAAGGGUACCAGGAUCCAUGGCUUGUAACCAUGACCUAAGGCACCGAAGCCGAGUCGUAUCCCAACGGUGACAUCAAUUGAAAGCACAAUGUGCGAGUAAUAGCGAUUGAUCACGAGCUGUAUAAAACCAAGGAAACAUAAUAUUCCGCAAAGGAAGAAAUUUAGUACUCACAAACACAUGUUGAGCUCAAGUUGACAUUUCUGUUAAUGUUAACAACAUAGCGAUACAUGGAACGAAACAAAUGGAUGCAUUGCAGGCAUAUUGCUAGCUACACGCAAGUCAUAAGGCUAUGUCAAAAGGACAAUGUGCAAAGCACAUACGCAAGCAUGAGAGGUGACUUGUCGACUCCAAGGACGACAUAAGCUCAUACCUCCCAAAUACUCUCCGGAAGGGUGAGGUUGGAAACUCAUCAUAAAGUGAGGAAUUUUGGACCAUUGAGUACCACCGUACUCCCGAGAAACUUCCUCGCCCAACAAGGUCAUCACAACCUUAGGGCUCGAAAGUGCGACGAGGUUACAACCUCCAGCAAGCCUCCAACCUUCCAAAGGUUAAAGGCGCAUGCUAAGACUUCAUGACUCAACAACAAGAGUUUGAAGCAAGAAAGCCGCUCACCAAGUCUCGAUCUCGGAGUGGGUAGCCCACGGCACCCUACAUGGCUUGGAGAGAGCCCGAGGCCUCCUCCUUUUUUUGUCAACACCAAUGUCAACUCCAGAAACACCGGAUACAACUAUCACGGUACCUGGAAAAGAAGACAAGUAUGGUGUCAAAAUAUUCACCAAAGGUGGACGAAGCAAGAAAAUGCAGAAAUGCUCACCAAAGAUAGGCAAACGAGCUCGAGCUUUGUGCCCGAGAGCGUCAAUAACUCGAACGCCACAAAAGGCAUCGCCUUCUUGCAAAAGCUUCGGUGACAUGGUUGAAAUGCCAUCUUUGACUGGAUUGCCAAGCGCAAACAAAACCUGUCACAUGGUGCCUAACGAGGUCGCAAUGUCAACAUACAAAACAAGGGAAUCUCGCCAAGAUUCGCUAGGGGGGCUCACCUCCAAGGUUGCCAGACAAUCAAGGUCCUUGCUUCGAUGCGAUUGGACUCCGUUGAACAAAUACCUUGGCAAACAAGACCUCGAUUCCUUUGGGGCGAGAUACCACCAAGAUUGUGGUCAACAAAAGUCUGCAUCCCGAGAGGACUGGACUAUAUCGAGAUGGUCCUUGAGCAAACGGAAACACUAACCCCCAGCAAGUCAGGGUGCAAUCAUCUCGGUGAUAAAAAAUCCACACCUUCUAUCUUACCUGCAACAUGGGUAACGAAGCGUGUGAGCAACACUGAAGAACCCAAGGUUCAAGGUUUGUUGCCGCAACAAAAAUCUUAACUCCAAGAGUUAUGUUUGAAGGCUCAAGACUCAAAGGCCGUCGCAAAGUAUCAUAGCUCCAAGAGCCAUGGUCGCGGCAAAGAGCCUAAGGUACAAAAGUACCGCUAAAAAGUCUAACUUCAAGAGUUAGCAUUGCGAACCCAAGGUUCGGGGCCGUCGCAAAGCACCAUCGGUCCAAGAGCCAUGGCCGCAGAAAAGAGCCUACGGUACAAAAGUACCACUUAAAGUCUAGCUCCAAGAGCUAGCAUGGCGAACACAAGGUUCUAGGCUGUCACGAAAUACCAUCGCUCCAAGGGCUAUGGUUGCGGCGAAGAGCCUAAGGUACGAAAGUACCACUUAAAGUCUAGCUCCAAGAGCUAGCAUGGCGAACACAAGGUUCUAGGCUGCCACGAAAUACCAUCGUUCCAAGGGCUAUGGUUGCGGCGAAGAGCCUAAGGUACGAAAGUACCACUUAAAGUCUAGCUCCAAGAGCUAGCAUGGCGAACACAAGGUUCUAGGCUGUCACGAAAUACCAUCGCUCCAAGGGCUAUGGUUGCGGCGAAGAGCCUAAGGUACGAAAGUACCACUUAAAGUCUAGCUCCGAGAGCUAGCAUGACGAACCCAAGGUUCGAGGCCGCCGCGAAAUACCAUCGCUCCAAGAGCCAUGGUCGUGGCAAAGAGCCUAUGUACAAAAGUACCACUUAAAGUCUAGCUCCAAGAGCUAGCAUGGCAAACACAAGGUUCGAGGCUGUCGCGAAAUACCAUCCCUCCAAGGGCCAUGGUUGCGGCGAAGAGCCUAAGGUACAAAAGUACCACUUAAAGUCUAGCUCCGAGAGCUAGCAUCACGAACCCAAGGUUCGAAGUACCAUCGCUCCAAGAGCCAUGGUCGCGGCAAAGAGCCUACGGUACGAAAGUACCCCUUAAAGUCUAGCUCGAGAGCUAGCGCGACGAACUCAAGGUUCGGGGCCAUCGCAAAGAACCAUGGCUCCAAGAGCCAUGGUCGCAGCAAAGAGCCUAAGCUACAAAGGUACCACUUAAAUUCUAGCUCCAAGAGCUAGCAUGGCGAACCCAAGGUUUGGGGCCGUCGCAAAGUGCCUAACUCCAACGGCUAGGGUCACUACUAUAAGCCCAAAAGCUCGGGGAUUGUCGCUGGAAGUCCAGGGCCGCACGGCCAGGAACACAAUUGUGUGGCAAAAAGAAGAAAACCACACAAUAGCAAACAAAAAGGGAGAAGGCCGCCUCCUGUGCCCAAAGGGUAUUCGUGCAAAUACCGCGCCACAUCAACGCUGGUGCCCGCGCCCACGCGCUAGUCGCCCUGCCAGCGGCGCCGCGCCCAUAAUGUGCCGUGCGUGCCCACGCCCACGCUUGCCAAUGCCUUGCCGAGCAUGCUCGUGCCAGCUCCAUGCCCGCGCCCGCGCCGUGCCGUGCGUGCCCGCGCUCGAUGUGCCGCGCAUGCCCGAGCGUGCCGCGCCGGGCGCCCGCCAUGCGUCGCUCGCCGUGACUGCGUGCCACCCCUCGCCGAGCGUCGGGCCUCGCUGCACCAUGCUGCGCAUCCCCCAUGCCGCACAUGCCCGAGCUCGCCCCGCCGUGCCACGCGCCCGUUGUGCCCGAGCUCGUCGUGCCGUGCUGUGCGCCCGUCGUGCCCAUCGUGCCGCGCGUGCCCGAGCUCGCCGCGUCGUGCCGCUCCAUGCCGUGCACCCGUCGUGCCCGCGUGCCGCACCUUGGUCCAUAGCUUGGGGCCUCGCUGCACCAUGCCGCGCCCACGCGCCACACCAUUCCGAGCCAUCGCCGCGUGCACCGCCGUGCCUUCACCGCGCCUCACCAUGCUACUCACCGUGCGUGUGCAUGCCUUCGCCACGCCUUGCGGCCGUGUGCAUUCCCCAGUGCGCCAGUCGCCCACGCCGCACUCCCGUGCUCCCUCGCCGCACGCGCCUCGCCGUCACGGGGACGCUCUUGAGCACCGGUCGCCUCGCACCUCGAGUGCUCGACCAAAUGCCCAACCGAGCCGACCACGUCCAAAAACACCAAGGUCCAAGUCUGAGAAGCCCUUCUCGCUUCUGCACGAGCAGUGAAGCACGAUGGACGCCUUGACCCAAGUGGUCUAGAUUGCGCUGCACGUCCCCGCGAAGCUUCAACAAUGACGAGCUUCCGCCACUGCUCCUUGCGCACCGGCCUAGCCUCCUUCGUUGUCAAGGAAGUGUCUAACGCCCCUGCGGAGCACCCUACUACACCAAGCUCUCGAAGCAAUGCCGGAUGUCGCCUAACGCGUCUUCGGCACCGGGCAAGCCAAACGAGUAUGGUGUGAAGCUUCAAGGAAGUUGGGAACCCCAUUUUAUAGGCCACCGGAGCCCCUAGGCGUCCUAGUCGAACCAAUGGCACGGCGACACCUCGCUGUCCUUCUCACCAAGGAACAAGACAAGAAGAGGGAAGAAAUAGGCAAGGGGAGCAUCCCGUUUUCCUAAAAGGAGACCGGCUUGGGCAAAGGAGGGCACCCCUCGCACGGGCCCUGCAUCCUGGCCACGCCGCAGACACCACCGAUGACGACUGUCGUCUGCAAAAGGGAAACGAAGACCGAACGGUUACUUCCCCGUACGAAGGAGGAAGACGGCCGACGGCUGUCAGAUCUAGGGCGAGCGGCCUCCCCCCCGCCGUCCGAUCUGCUCACUUAAACCUGAACCGGUAUCGGGCCCAGCUGGGUCGCGGCCCGACAGCGGCCCAAGAAACCAGCCGGUAAAAAAGAAAAACAACAACGCGCCAGAAGGCGACCGAAGUGUCGGCCCAGCUCACGCCUGCGCGUGCGAGGCCAGCCUAGCAGGCCCACGCGGCCGGCUGGGUUCAAGAAUCUUGUAGAAAUGCCCGUGAUCUUGGGAAAAUUGCCAAUAAGACAUCGGAAAUUUUGGGGAGGCCCGCAGGGCCCUGAUUUUUGCAAAAAAAUUCCUCUGGGACACCGGAUUUCUCGCAGAGAAGCUCCUAGACUCCCGGUUUUUGCUAAAAUACCCCCCGAAACUCGAUUUCUCACAGAGAAAAUCGCCGAAGGCAUGGAAUUUCCCCGAAACACCUCCAAGGCUCCUAUUCUUUAUAGGAAAACUGCCAAGUACCUCUGUUUCUUACAAGGAAGCUUGCCAGGCAAUUCAUCAAAGACACCAUCACAAAUACAAGAACGGGAAAAAAGAAUCAAGAGUCUCGCAUCGAAGGUUGACCCGAAGGCAUUCUCAAUGCCUCCUGCUCAAGGGGGCUACUGUUGUAGUAAAAUAAAACCCUUAUAUGGGCCGGGCCGUAAAUCCUACAUGGUGACGAAGAAGUCAACAUUUCUCAAGCGUGAGUCAAGAUGCCCUCGUGGCACCGUCAAUCCUACGUGGCAAAGAAAGACAAGUCAAUAAGUCAACCCUCUCAUGCCAUGGUCAAAGGGUGAAAUGACCUACAGUAGAGGACAAGAAAGGUGUGGGGAUGAGGCUUUUGAUCCAUGGUGGACCAUGGACCAACCCUCACUUUCCCCCUUAUGGUGCACACACACAAGUUAUGGACCAAGGAGCUACUUUUACCAUUUUGCCCCCAGUUUUCUCUCUCCCUUAAGGGUAGCCAUGGUGUUUUGUUAUGGUCUUUUGGCAUGUAUCAUUCACUCUCAACUUGAAUAAACUCAAGGGGAGAGGGCUAGAGUGCUCCUUCUAAGGUUCGCUCUCGAGCGCCGCUUUCGACUAAAAGUCGACCGGCCUCGAGGAAGCCUUUUAGUGGACUCUAGUUUCGAGGGUCCGAGCUAACCUUGGUUAGCACGGGCUCGAAGGAGAAGGGGUUGUGUUAGAAUUCCGAGUGUAUCCUAACCUCGAUACUUGAAAAGACGCGUUCGGUCCAAGUACGUGGCGGUCCCGACGAAUCUCUCGCUAAAGGUGUCUUGGGAAGAUCCGCUCGGCACAUGCACUUGGCUAACAACCCGCACGAAAUCUUUCCUAACAUAGGAUUAAGUUGUGCUCGCAAGGUCGACCGAAUCUAUUCAAAAAAUAUCGACGUGUCAACUCGUCCAAGUGUGGGGACCUUCGUUAUAAGGCCGGCGUACAAGACUUACUUUUAUACCCGCACUUGUGCCAUCGAGCAUCGGCACCAAUUACUCUAAUUGUUGUCGAGAACAACAACACCACCAAACAACAAAGCACAUAAAUCUUGCUUGCAUUGUUGCUUCAGAACUUGUCCUAUGGGAUGAAUAUUUGAAUCUGAUUGCAAACCAUGUUUAAAUUUUUUAAUUCCCAAAGUAUUAGAAGUGAGAAAAGCCAGUCAAAGUACCAUGCAACUAUUCUCAAACUAGUCUCCAAUGUUCAAUAAUCUGGGCUGCAAUGAGUCGAAUCACUUCGUACUGCAAAGUAAAUCCUGCAGUGACGAAAUCCUCGGUGCACGUGUAUAUUGGUAGUAUUGUCUUUACUUUUUAGUUACUUGGAUAAGAUGUGACAAAUAUGUAUACAAUCCAUCGUCAGAUGUUCUUAGAUAAAUCAUUUCUGUGGAUAAGUUGUAGGGAGUUCAAUUAUGUGUGUGUAGCAAUAGAUUACGAGAAAAUCCAUAUUUGUACCGGGUCAAACUCAAUAUAUGAAACUACAAGUAUAUAUUAUAACUGAAGGUAUAGUUAGUACACUUGAAACUGCAAGUACAUGUACGGGCUCAUCGGUGUGUAUUUUGGACAAAAGAAAGCAAGUGUAUGUACACCGGGAAGAAGAAAGAAGUAUUAGUAAUACAUAGUAUGAAUGAAACCCCUUUUAAGGGCUUGUAGCUGCAUCGCAGCAAAACCUCUCCUUUAAACCGAUGAUAUACCUUUCUUGGGUAUAUUCUAGAAAAAAAAUGAAACAACAUUUAUAUUAUAGUACAAGUAUAAACUGGAUGUACCAUUUUUGUAAAAUUGGGAAGAAAGUACUCAGAGUACUGACAUUAGUGUUGAGGUUUGAAAACUGUACUAAAUUUAUCCAUCAUGAAGUUACCUAGAGGAUGGAAGUACUACCUCCGUUUCAUAAUUCUUGUCGAAAUAUUACAUGUAUUUAGACGCUUUUUAGAAAUAGAUAUAUCCAUCUUUGAGCAAAUUUAAGACAAGAAUUAUGAAAUGGAGGGAGUAGCUGAUAGAGGUUAGAAACUACGUGUACAAGUACAAGGUUAGAAACUACACGUACAAGUACAUCUAUAUGUCGUAUAUUAUCAUAGUAGAAGUUCACAGUCUGGUUGUAAUAGAGUGGGUACAUUUACAGUAGUACUAUUCGUUUCUAAAUUAGGAGCGAAGGUAUAGUUAGACAUUUAGAACUAUAGUACCAGUACGAAAUAGACUGGAUACACUAAUACAUCUAUAAACUCUAUAAAAUUGAAACCCACUAAGUGCAAUUAAUUUUGCAAGCUGCACAUGCAGCCCAUCCACGUCAGCACCUGUCUUCUCACGAGUCCGCAUCACCUCCUUUCAUUCGUUGCGUUGCAGCGUCGCGAGUGUUCCGCCAAACGGUGCCAGCAGCGCCCGUCGUGCCAUUCCGGGCUUUGCAUGAACCCGCCGCUGCCAGAACUGCUCCCUGCGCAGCUACCGCGCCCGCCGCCGCACCUGCUCCGUGUGUUGUUGCCGUCGCGCGUGCUUCCUGGGCCGCUGCCACGCCUGCUCCGUGUGCUGCCGCCCUCGCGCCGGAUCGUUGCACCACCGCCACGCCAGAUCAGAGCGAGGCUGGAGGUGGGCUGGAAGAUCGGGAGGAGGUGCAGGGGGAUCGAUUCGGGAGGAGGAGCGAGGAGUCGCCGUCGCUCGAUCGAGAUCGGGGAGAAUUGAUCGGGAGGAUCAAUUCGAGACGUGCGUGCUGCGUGGGCUUCCUCGGCCUAGAGAAAAGAAAUAUCAGAAGAGAAGCGGGCCGUUGCAGGACUGGACCAGGCUCAAAAAAGAAGACAAGAUGGGCUGGCUUAAGUACAUUGUAAAAUAGCCCAUGACGGGCCAGGCACGCCGGGCCAACGGACUUUUUCAAAAAGCCCGGCCCGUUGGAGCUGGACACAGGUCAAGCAGCCAGUUACCAAUUAAUCUUGCUAUAAGGAAUGGAAACCGUGCCCCUUAAUCAAGGAAUAAACGUCUGUAUUUUCCAGUUCUCACUCAAUAAUUUUCCACGAUCCUUAAGUGCUACAUGAGAAAGCCGGGGGCGAGGCUAGAGCACUUCCAUCCAUAAGAGAAGGGUGAUGCAGAGGGACUGAGGGACAUCAAGCGUGCCAACCUGCAGGUUAGGAGCAACGGCGAGCUCAAGGACAAAGUCCGUGAUCAUGUCCAAGUCCAACCUCCUCUCACCGUAGCCUGCUUGCCUUCGAUGACGCUGUUGUACGGGAGAUGCUGCUGGCCAGCGGCCGCAUCGGCGUACGGGUCCACUGUGGACCUUUGUAGCACCGGGUGCAUCUUUGAAGAGCUCCAUGCACGGCAGAGCGUGCACAUGUUGUAGGAGCACACGAAGGUGGAGCAGAUCCAUAGGUUCUUCAAGUUCUCUGGCCCACUUUCGAUGGGGACGGCGCGUACUGAAGCGUCCUCCCUCCUCCGCUGCAGGUGUUGUACAAGAGCCGUUUGAUGGAGACCUUCGAGUCUUGGGUGGUGCCAGACGAAGCUGCCGAGACGGUGUUCUCUGUCGACCCAGUGCGCCGUCACCGUGCUCGCCUCCGGCUGUUUCCCCAGUCCUGGCACGCCGUGCCCAGCAAGAGCAAGCGAUGGAUGCCACCACCAACUGGAGGCAUCUCAGGAGCCACAUCAUCCACCCGGAGGAGUUGCCGCUACGGCGAAACCCCUCACGGCAGCCGGUGAGGAAAAAGGAUGCUCUCAAGGUGGUUGGUCCGGUGCACCUCGACACGUCGACCGCUUCGUGUGGGUCAAAAAGCCUAGAUCACCAGAUGCGUCCAAGGCCUCCUGUAGGCUCAGCUCCUCCAAACACAAUUUCAGCAGUAGUAUUGAUUUAAAUGUGCAAUGCAGCAACUGAGGAAAAAUCAACAGCUUCAAGCUCAUUUUACCACUCCCCACGGUCUACAUUUCUUUCUACAUAUUCUGUAGAUGCAAUGCUCUGCUCUAAAUAGAUUUGCACUUCCCCAAGCCUGGUGUUCAUAUAUUAAUUUGUUUAGCAAUAUAGACAUUGUUGACCGACUCUCAUAAAAGUGUGUUCCCAUAUAAACCCAAAAUUCUGGACAAAUUCAGUGAGUAUCUCGAGUGUUGUGGUCUAUUUACAUUUUAAGCGAACAUAUGUUUUUUCAAGAACAAAUUGACCUCCGAGUAUCUAACUAAAUUAAUGUUCAAUUUUUCAAUAUGUAGCGUAUAUUUCCACAGCAACGCGCGGGGUAUCAUCUAGUUUAUACAUAAGACUGGGUACAAGGUGAAACCAUUGUAAAUACUGGAUGUACCAUAUUACAAGUUUAGUAUUCCCUCCGAUCCUAAAUUGUUGUCAAAAUAUUACAUGUAUCUAGACGCUUUUUAAAAAUAGAUAUAUCCAUAUUUGGGCAAAUUUGAGUUAAGAAUUUAGUAUCAGAGCGAGUAAUAUGGAAGUAGUUACGCCAGAACGACAUCCACAACUUUCAAAAACUUGUACUCAUGUACAGCUUCUUCACAAGUACUGGAUAGUACAUUUUCAUGACAGAAAAUUCUCAGGGUAGUGGGUUCAAACUCAUGUACGGUCUUGUACAAUUUACGAAAGUACUUUGGGCAGAACGAGAUCCGCAACUUUGAAAGACUCAUCUAUGGUUGGAAACUUGUACAUCAUUGUUUCCUAUGGCUCAAAUAAUAAGAAGAGCUUAUCUUUUCAUGUGACUGAUUAUAUGCUAAUGGGUUGGCAAUAUAUAUCAAUUUUAAUAAAGACUUAGUGGGACUAUUCCCUUGAAAUAUUUUAAAAAAAAUGCAAAUAAAGAGAUAUAUAAAAUAAAUUUUGACCCAAUAUUUUAAAAAAAAUAAAAGAAGUAGUGAAAAUUAAAACUCUUUUUUUUUGGGUAAGUAAUAGGGGUGUUUUGUUAAAUGUGAAUAAUGUCCUUACAGACCUGAGCGAGGACCUCGGCAAUGGUUGGAGGCGACUCUAGGUGCAACACCUCGUCGUCUAUACCUCUAAUAUCAAUCAUUUAUGGUACCCUCAAAUCUCUGUGAGCCGUCUAUUUAAGGAGAUCUAAAGGUCCAGAUCAAUUUAUACUACUGGUAGAAACAUGAUUAGCAAAAGCGAGCAGUAGUGCCGUGGAGGAAAAAUCGGUGGAUUGGGCAACAAAAUCCCGCAGUAAAAUUGGAGGAGCAAGUUGUGCCGCAUCCUCUCGCUCUCGCUCCAAACGCGGAAGAGGUGCCCGCCCGGCAAAAUCGUAGCUUAAUCUCGGUGCUGAAUCUGAGAAAUUGAAGAAAACUAAUGGAAAUGUUCGUGCGCUGCCACGGCUCAAAUACAAGAUGGUCGUCACUUGUAUACACUAUUUAAGGAUUCUAAUUUUUUCGGCUCAAAGCAUAUAAAUCUAACACAUUAAAAAUGUGAAGGAUGUGAGUACAUGUAUAUAAAUACACAAGGUGUGGCCUCAUGCAACAGAUGCAAAAUAUACUUAUUGAUUGGGAAAUCGAAUCAGGUUGGGCUGACUCAGAUUGGCCAAAUCUCUUCCUACUGUUUCUCCUCUUAUGGUUUUAUAAUAUUCUAAUUGUAAUUUCCCUUUCCUUUUUGUCUUUCCUGACCAUGAACUAAUUGUAAGAACUAAAUGCAACAAGAUCAGAAACAUGAACAUUUGGAAAAAAGAUCUGAACCAUGAACGGAAAGUGACAAGAUCUGUUAUAGAAAAAUGCAAGAACAAAUAUCUGGAAAGAACAAACAACCAAAACAGAAUCUCAAAAAAAAGGAAAAAAAAUCUCCAUCGCCCUAUGUCCUAAUAGAGGCUAGUUCAUUGAUUUGUUGAAUCAAGAAACGAAUCUGAAUGAGGAGCUCACGAGAGGUGAAAAAUAAGGCAGUGGAUCGUUUUGUCCUCACUGACCCCACAUCUCCUUGUGUCUGCCUGGAUCUCGUCGGACUGCGCCUCGUUAGCUGCGGUGCUUCGCCUUUAGAGACAGGGCAACUGGGGCACGCCGUGGUCUGGGAAGAGGGAAUGGGGCAUGGUCAUGGAAGAGGGGCAACGCUCCGAUUCUGCCGAUCUCGCCACGGUGCACGCAGCCAACGCAAAGAAAGCCAAGGCCAUGUGCGGCUGCAGCGAGCUCGCGAGGGCCGCCGCUGCUUCAUGCGGCGCUUCUUCUGCUGCUGCUGCCUCGGCGACCAUGGUUGACUUUCGCGUGCGUGAGCGACUUCAGAGACACGUCGCCUCGUCGCCUCUCUCUCAUCUCCACGGCUCGUCCACCUCAUCUUCCCUGAUGGACUAGCUCAUCGACUCUCUCUCAGACCGUUUAUUAUCCAUGGCGGCGGUGGCGGAUCCAGUCUCCAUGACGGUGUUCGCAGGGGAGGAGCGCGGCAGCGACGGGCCGUCCAUAGAUCUUUGCCGGCGGAGACGGCGCUCGCAGAGGAGGAGGGCGGCUGCGGCGUGCAGAACGAGACGCGAGGCUUGCGGCGGAGGGAGGAGAAGCGGCGGUCGGAGGAGGCGGCGAGCGCUGGUCAGGAAGAGAAAAUAGAUGUUUUUUUACACGAAGGGAGGGGGAUUCGCAUCGGGACGUACAGGAGGGGAUGCGUUGGCAUACUCAUGUAAAUUUAAUGAAAUUGACUACGACGUCCGCGGCAAUAUACAGUAAUAGAUUAUGUCCUGCAUCUGUGGGUAAUCGAUCGCUGUUGGCACCGGCGUUGUUUGGAUGGGAAAUCGAUCACUUCGAUUACUCACUAGGAAAUCGAUCGGGCUGGAGCUGGCCAGAAGAGGCAUUGUUUUUCUCGAUUCAUGGAGUCCCAAUCGAUUAUUUUUUUCUUACGCCUGAUGGGCCCCGUCCGGCCAGGUCUGCAAUGUCUUGCGGGAAAAAAGGAUUAGAUUAGGUUAAUUCCACUACUCCCCUCCCUCUACCGUCAAAAGGUACCGUAAAAAAUCUCCUGCAUGAACCCUCGAGCUGAACGGAGGAUAUGUCCAUGUCGAGCAUGAUCCCAACGAGCACCAGAUAGGCCUUGGAUAAUCUCUUGCGCUCCGCAUCAACCACACAGUCGGCAUAGCGCAUCUGUCCUGACAUGGCAAAGCUUGCAGGCGAAGAGGUAAGCCUCAACAUCAGCUUUGGCCAAUGCUUCAGCCUUACGGGAACAAAUAGGCAAAUGACCACAUGCCGAAAGGAGCUCUUCGUCAUUGCAAUUCCGCACGAUACACCCCGCAAAAGCUUAGCCUAUUUUUCCAUUACACCCCCCUCUUCCAACGAAAACACAAGUACGGUCCAGAUCAUUCCGUACCCCUUCAUAAAAAAAAGCAUGAUGGACAUUAAUUAAUAUUUUCUUCUCUUCUUUUCACCUGCCUCCGGACAACAUUAGAUGUUUUUGAUUUUGCCGGAAAUUGCACCGUUGGAUCGCGACGAAAUUUUACGAGCUUGUAGUAGACACAAUUCCGCACAAUCCCAUCGAAGGGAUCAACGAAAUACUUCUUGAGUCAGCGGGAAACAUGCGAACAAUUCGGACGUUUGUGCUGUCCUACACGGCUGUGAGAAAUCCAAACAGCGCUCGGGUUUGCAAUUUUCCGGAGAUUCCACCAUUGGAUCACGAUGAUAUUUCACAUUGUAGUGGUUACAAAAUUCCGCACAUUCUCACGGAAGGGAUCGGCGAAAUCUUUCUUGAGUCAAUGGGGAACAUGCAAAUAAUUUGGACGUUCGUGCUGUCUCUUAGGGUCACGAGAAAUUCAAACAAUACUCGGUUUUUCAAGUUUUCUGGAGAUUCCACCGUUGGAUCGCGAUGAAAUUUUACACCGUGCUAGUAGACAAAAUUCCGCACAAUCUUACCGAAGAGAUCGUCGAAAUAAUGAUCGUAUCAACGGGAAACAUGCAAACAAAUCAGACAUUCGUGCUGUGACGCACGGCCACGAGGAAUCCAAACAACACUUGGUGUUUUGGAGUUGGCUCGAGAUUUCACCGUCGGAUCGAGACGAAAUUUCAUACCAUCAUAGUAGACACAAUUUCGCACAAUCUCACCGAUGGGAUUGUUGUAAUAAUACUUUAGUCUGCAGAUACUUUGUGAGAGAGGAAGGAGGCAGGAAAAAGAAAAAGAUUAGACAAAAGGAGAGAAAAAAAAAUAGAAGAAAAAACGUGAAAAGACCAUCCUACACUUCUGAGUUUGGGAGGGGGGAUUGUAUUGAAUGAGUCCUCUUUUUAUUAAGGCAUGACGAAGGUCAUGUAACAUGCAAUAUUCAAGAGUUAUAAAUUCGUACGUUACAACUCAUGUCUUCUCGUUGUUCAUUAUAAAUGUGCCACCAUUUGUUACCCAAGUGACAAUUAAACCAAGACAAAGGCUCCAUUAAAGCUGGCGAAGAUGAGGACGUGCAACGAUAUACAGGAGCAAUGACGAAAUUGCUGCAUAGUUGAGAGGUUGACGGAGUGGGGCCGGUGAAGGGAUUAAGAAGCAAAAGGUACAUAAGUUGGUGCCUGAGCUUGUUAAUUCUUUGGAAAUUCCUUCACAAGCAGUUAUGCCGGUUGUGCAAGAGGUACAGAAGUGAUCUACGCCGAGCCCUGGCUGGGUUAAGCUGAAUACCGAUGGGGCUGUUGAUCAAUAUCUUGGAGUUGGAGAAACGGGCAUGGUGGCGCGUCUUGCUACAGGAUCGUUUCUUGGAGCAAAAUGUCGGUGGGUUUUUUCGAAAAGGAGGUUCGAACCUCCGGGUUCUGCAUCAGAAUGAUGCACACAUCCAUAUUUUAUUAAUUUAUUAACAAGUCUGAGAACAUGAAUACAUUGGUCAAACAAUCUAAAGCCACCAAUCUAUGCCUACAAGUCUGAUGAAGGAAUGGCUAUCGAGGCCGCAUGCCCCGAUCGCAUACCACCGCCAACAUCAAAAUCCGGUAGGGUUUUGAGUUUGGGUCGGGGGAAGGGCAGAAUGUCGGUGGUAUGAGCAUAUUACUGAUCCGGUUGUGGUAGAGCUGCUUGCCUGUCGGGAUUCAUAGUGAUUGAGACUGACUGCCAAGGAAUUGUCAAGGCAUGGGAUAAUGUGGUAGAGGACAAGUCCCUGUGUGGACAGAUCGUUCGGGAGGUGAAGUUGUCGUUCUCUGCUUUCCAGGGUUUUAGUUCGUGUUUUGCUAGGAGAUCUUCGGUAGCACAUUUGUGUGCUCGUGCUGCCCUCUCUUCGUAGUUCUUUUGCUUACUUCUCUAGUAUAUCCCUGGUGUUCUGGUUGUGGCUGUUUAAUCAAACUUAUUAUCGUCAAUGGAACAAAGACCUGGGGCGGCAGUUUAAUAAAAAAAUUAGGAAGCAAAAGGAAGGACUAGAGGUUGAGAACAAUAGUACAACAUUGGUACUGUUUGGUACUUCCUCCGGUCAUAAAUUGUUGUCGAAAUAUUACAUAUAUCUAGAUGUUUUUUAAGAAUAGAUACACUCAUAUUUGGAUAAAUUUGAGUCAAGAAUUUAGAAUCAGAGAGGAAGUAUUCCAGAGGAGUAUCCGUAUUUACGAAUGUUUGAAGAGUUCGGUCCGGCCGUGCGUCACACGAUGACCAAGUAACGUGUCGGUUGGACAUUCUGUGACGUCCGACUCCAAGUGACCAAGCUAGUGGGCAAGUUGCAAACCAGCCAAAAUACUCCUUCGCAACUCACAAAUAAAUAUACCAUUCUGAACGACAAUCUGGAUAUAUUCACUCGUGUCCCGCACUCCAUAACCAUCCCUUUCCCUCCUCUGAUGAGCAUCCAGAAGCAGACCAGGCUAGAGCUUUCUGUCAAGUUUUCGAAUGGAGCCCAUGACCAUAAGAGCUUCUGACUACGUGCCGGACGACCUGAACUCCAACUGCCAACUGAUAUAUAUCAUGCUGCAGGACUGAAUUCAUUUCGUUUCCCACCUUUCCUUUUUACUGUAGUAUACAAGAUGAUCAUCAUGAAUUUAUGUUGGUUUCAAUAGAAAAUGUAUCCGUCUUUCAGUUCAUAUGGACGUAUAUUUUCUAGAACGGAUUUUCGAACGGGAGCCAAGUUAAACGUUUACCACGAAACAAAUCCCAGUAAACACUAUCCCCGUCUAGGCCUCAGAUGGAUUGCACAAGUUUUUUUUAGACAAUUUUGUACUUCCUCCGUCCGAAAAUUUUGUAUUGUAGUUUUUCAAUUAAAAUUCCCUCAAAAUCCCGUAAGAUCUAGUUGUGUCGAACAAGGCCUCGGAGCACUUCCCACGGUUACCUCCAAGCCGGCUCGUCGCUCCCAUGCAAAAAAAGAAAAGAUGUACAGCAAACACCCAUGCGCUCUAACGCGAUAAAAACCAUCACGCAUGUCUACUUUGUAGUACACUGGUUUAAAAGUUGAAUAUUGUGAUAUCUAUAUCCUUUAGAAAAGUGAUAACUGCAUUAGAAACUGUAUAAUGGUGCAGUGAAAAAUCACAGUUGGAAAAUAAACCGAUAAAAAAGUGCAGCACAAAAGAGUUAGAAAAUAGGUACAUUAAAGACUAGUGCAGAUGUACAAUAGAGAUUGCCGCAGAAACUACGGAAAUAUUUCAGCAAAAAAUAUGGUAUUUCCUCCCCCUCCGAUCCAUAAUUAGUGUCCUAAUCAGUGACAUUAUUAUACGGAGUAGAUCAGAGGGAAUAGAAACCAAUAAAAAUGUGCAUUAGAAAUUAGUGUGAAGAUGCAGUAGAGGAAAAGUACAGUAGAACUAGUGGGAAAUUGCUGUUAAGAAAAAAAUGUAAUACCUGUAUGGAUGAGUAAACUAGGUACCACUAUAAUAUGCGAAUACUACAGUAGUUGAGAAAAAAGAUGAUUUAAUUCUUUCUGGGGGAGCGAUAUCAACGGGAAGCUACAUCUCAAACAUUUCCAUAUUUCCAUAAUCGCCGGACGAUGACAGACAGCAUCAAACACAUGACAUGUCUCGAGUCUCAAAGGAAGGGGACAAAUGGACCGGUGUACUCUUGCCUUCGAGUCGAUUUGAGUCCCAUUGCAAUGCAGGUCAGCAUAACAAUGCAGAUGAACCAUAUCGUGUUCCAAAUUCCAACUACCGUCACUACAGACGCUAGAACCAGAGCACGACUUCUUCCAUUGAUAAUUAUAUGCUGAGCAGUUUUUAGGUUCAACCGUAGAUGACAAAACUAGCAGUCCACACGGAAGCUCACGUAUGUUCUGGGUCAAAAAGAACACAAAGCAAAAUGGAUGUAUUAUCAUCAAAUUGGUUGCAAGAAUAUCCUAAUGUGCAGCAAUAAAGGAUGAGAUCCCAGGACGGAGGUCAUUCACAACCCAAACAGAUCCAAAUAAUCUAAUUAGUUACAUGUGAAGAUGGCAGAGCUAGGGUGCCCAAGUAGCAAUAGAUAUAAAGGAUAGAACCGGGAGAGUACGUAUGCAAUAAUUUUGUGCGUUUCUAAACGCAAUAUCUUUUGUUCUCUUCAUUCAUCAUGUGCUCUUCCGCUUGUCAACAUGUUUCAAUAACAUAUCUUUUCAAGAAACAGCAAGGAGUGCUGCCUUUCAAUUAGACAAAAGAGAGUAAAGUGGCUUGGACAAGGAUCAAGUCAAGCCACAACCCCUAACCAGCGGCAUACAGGCUACUCGCCAAAGAAAAUGCUACUAAGAUACACAGAGGUAGUACAAGUUAGCACUUCCAGUACCAUCAUUUUGCAGAAAAUUCACAUUUAAUAACUUUAUCAGUUACCACAAGAGAUUGUGUGCUCACUUAAGAUACACAGGGAGCAUGCAUGUUCCUCUCUCAGGUUCUAGAAUUCUAAGACAGGACAAUACAGACGAAAUUCACUCUCUCCAAGAUCAAUAACUGACAACAAGUCAAGAACUACAUUGGCAUAUCUUUUCUGUUCCAUUUCUCAUACUUCUUCAAGAAAGUGCUAUGCAUUUAUCGGAUGGGUGCCUAGGGCUCCUAAAUGUCCACAGGAAGUUCUAGAAAGACGACAGUGUUCAUUCCAGUCAAAUUAUCCGCAGGAAGCAAGGAACAUGAAGAAUAAAAAAAGAAACAGAGAAUAGGGCCAACCUGUUAGUGAUCUGGUCCAUUACUUAUCCAUUAUGCUAUCUAAGGCCCGCAAUUGAACAAAAGUCGACAAUCCCUCCACCUGACAGCAUCCCAACUGUUAAUGCAUCACCGCUGCCUCCCAACUCAUGGAGACAGCAACGCCACCACAAGUACUCCGGGUCUCUUUCCUCUUCCCUUCCCCCACAAAGAGUUGCUCCUGGUCUCUUUAUCCUCUUCUCUUCCUUCCCCACAAAGAGAUCACUCAUCUCCCUCCCCUAAACGAAGAGGUCACCUUUUAGUAUACUUCAUCCUUAAGUUAAAUAUUAGACCAUCUUAAAUCACUCACCUGUCCUUGGGCUACUUACUGCAGGCCUAGUAGACUUAGCUUUCACUUGAAUUGUAUCAUAACUAAUUUAUGGGAAAUAUAUUAUAAGUGAACUAAGUUUCUAAGUUUUUUUUAAGUAUUUGCUACCAAAAAUAUAUGCUAUUUUUGCUUGGUGCCACUUCCAAUGGAUGAAAAAGAACAAAAUACCACUGUUUCAUGGUUACUCCAUAGUACGAUAUGAUUUGGUAACUGCAAAAAUUGGGACCAAAGGCAGAGCCUACAAGCCCACCCCCACACACCCUUCCCUCAGACCACACCACGUCCUCAAACAAGGGUAUUUUAUGAAUUUCUGCCAUUCACAGUUGAAUGUGGUACAAAACAGUAAGCACUAGCGAGAUAUGCUUCAGGUGGCAGAUAAAAAACACACAUGCAAACUCAAGUGGUAGAUACAGCAUUUGCAAACAAGUGCAUGGUCCCUCCGUCCACAAAACACCUCAUAGGCUCAUACAAUUUUUUUCUCAUUUGUUCCAUAAUAUACCUAAUUUUUCUCUUGGCUCCAACACCUGGCCAAUAACUGCUCACACCCAUUUACUCUUAAUCCAAUAUGAGUGAUCAGGCACUAGAAACGACUAUCUUGAUCCAAGUGCACAAAUCUAUAUGAGGUGUUUUGUGGAAUGGAGGGAGUACCGGUUAGUGAUUGUUUUCAGCCCCCCCCCAAAUGUUAAAAGUAGGAGUUCCAAAAAGUCUCCUUAGUGCAUAUCGGUUUAUUGCAUACUGGAUCCAUAAUCUCUUUGGUAAAAGCAGUUUCUUUCCAAUGACGUAUUAGCUGAUGAAACAAUUCCCCCAAAAGUUUAAAGUUAUUAGAGAUCUUUCCUUUACAAACUGCUACAGAUUAGUUCAAUUUUUUCUAUGAAAUUAACAUGAAGCUUGAGAUUUAAAAUAGAAACCACACACUACAAGUCCCCAGACCAUUAUUCAAUGUAGUGAACGCCUAGCCUUAGGUAUUAGAAACAACCUAAGCACACCAAGAAGACGGCUAGCAAAUAUAAGCACAUAGUUUUUGCAUUAGCAUCACUAAUUAUACUAAGGGGUACUCGAAUAGCAUAAAAGACAACCCCAAGAACACAAAAAGCAAUGUACGGUUAAUUAGCUAAGUAAAGAGUAGUCCUGCGUGUCACCAAUUUCAGGCAUAAAAACAAAAAUAUCCUUAGUGUAAUUCCCUAAUAAAAAUAUCCUAAUAAUGCAACAGAUUUGGAAUGGAUGAAUAUAUCGGGCAAAUCCAGAAUAUAUGAGGAGCCUCAUAGUCAACUAAUGUUCCUAUGAUCCUAAUACCAAAGGAUAUCCAAUGGAAACAAACCAAUUACUGGCGAGUCUCUUAGAUUACACUAAUACAGUAGAUCACAGAAAAUAUAUCUAGAUAGAAGCAUUAUCAUGCAAUCACAAUUUCAAGAAUGUAGAAUAAAAAGUAGCUAAGUAAAAAGUAGUCUUGCAUAUCACCAAUUUCAAGAAUGUAGAAUGUAGAAUAAAUGCACGGUUAAUUAGCUAAGUAAAAAGUAGUCUUGCAUAUCACCAAUUUCAAGAAUGUAGAAUGAAAAUAUCCUUAGUGCAAUGCCCUAAUAAUGAUAUAUCCUAAUAAUGUAACAGAGAUUUGGAAUAGAUGAACAGAUUGUGCAAAUCCAAAAUAUAUGAGAUUAGAGGGGCCUAACUAAUGUUCCUAACUUCCUAUGAUGCUAAUCCCAAGGAUAUCCAAUGGACACAAACCAAUUACUGGCGAGUCUCUUAAAUUACACUAUGGCUGGUCAUAGUGGGGAGUAACUUAGAGUGGUAACAUGCAUAUGUCAUUAGUCUAAGUUACUACCUCCAUAGUGGGUGGUAACUUAUAUGUGGUGUCUUGCAUUAUGUCAUUAAUUAUUUUGUAGACUCAUCUUGUCUUGAUUUGUGUGAUGUUAUAAGUUACCACCUCCCUCUCUUUCUUCAUUUAUUACCAUGCCAUGUCACAAAAAUGCCUAGUUAGCACAUAUGUAACUACCUAAGUUACUUGCACUAUGACUAGUCUAAUACAGUAGAUCACAGAAAAUAUAUCUAGAUAGAAGCAGUAUCACGCAAUCCCAAAUACAGAACAAAGAAAACAGUUCAGUGUCAUUUGAAGUAGAUAAUCCUCAGACCAUAUAAUUUUAAAAUUUAAGAUCAUCCAGAAUCCUAUGACAACAUAAAUCUAAAUUGUACACCAGAGCCAUCAACACAACUGCAUAUAGAUCUAGAGGUAGAGCGAGAUAUCUUGGGGAUCUGACAUGAUGAAGAAGUUGGUAAGAUUUUUUCGGCCUCACCAGAGGUAGCCGGGUAUCUUGAUGCGGAGGAAGAGCAUGGCCAUGGCGUAUGCGAUGACGACGGCAGCGAUACCGGAGCCGGCGAACGAGAUUCGGAGGCUCCGAGGCCUGGUGCGGUCGACGGCGAGGUCGAGGAGGAUGAUCCCGACGCCUCCGAGGAGGAACAUGAAGCCGGAGGAGAGGCCCUCGAUGAUGUACUGGCCGUUGACGCGGCCGGGGAGGAAGACGACUGGGCGGACGGCGCCGGUGGCGGGGUCCUGGGAGCUCCCGAUGCCGGGGGGUUCGACGAUGACGUCGUAGACGAGGCCCGAGACGACGGCAAAGUAGGUGAGCAGGAUGAGGGAGAACACGGUCAUGGGGGAAGGGAGCGCGAGGUUGGACGGCACCUUGAGGCGGGUGCGUGGCGGCUGGAGGAAGGAGAAGGGGACCACGCGGAGGACGUGGAAGAGGGGAUCCAUGGAUUCGAACUCGGAUCCGUGGACCUGCGCGGCCGCGCUGCCGGCGGCGUGCUCCGAUCUGGGGGCCAUGGCGUCUCGCCGGGGUUUGGGAGAUUUGGGGAUUCUGUGGAGUUCUCUUUCUCGGGCCUGGCCGCACCAGCUGACCAAGACUUGCUGCGCUGGUGAAGUACUGAAGUCCCCUCAUAAGAUGCAUCCACGUCACCCUACUUGCACCAAUCUUAAAGCGCAUCAUCAAAAACCCUUACAAGCAGCCGCGGCUUCUUCCUAUCGGCAAAUUCCCCAUUACUCCAAAGACCAAACAGGCGAUGAUGGCGGCGGCGCGUGUGCUCUCUGUUGCCGCGGUGCUUCCCAUAGGCGGCGGCGGCCCCCCAGAGGCCUUUCGCCGGCGAAUGCGAGACAGGGUCUGGGAGCGUUGGCUGCUUUCGGGGCUCUUCGGCGGCGGCGUUGAUCUUGGCCAUGCGCCAGCGCCACGACGCGCCACGGCCCACGGGAGAGGCGACCGGCGACGACGCCACCAUGGUACAUAUUCCCCACCUGUGGCCUGUAUAAGUAGUUGGUGUUUAUAUGCUCCACGAGAUCAAACCGCCGACUGUAGAUAAAUAUUCGUAUCCCCGUCAAGAAAAGCCUCUCCCUCUUCUUCUGCUUGCUCUGCUUCUAUGUUCUUCCUCUCGCCUCUCUCCUCCACCCCGUGUCCCCGCCUCCACAGCCAUGGCCGGUAAGGUCUGCACUAAGUGCGGCGGUUCUGGCAUGGAAGAUAAAAUGUUUCAGUGCUUCCGUUGCCUCUCCUGGCAGCACAAGUACGCCCAUCUCUGCCGCAUGCCUUCUAUCUUCCCCUGGAUUCUUCCUUUUCUGUUUUAGUUUUGCUCAGCAUUGCAAAUUUCUGCCAAUCCUGUCAUGCUAAGCAUUCCAUGCUCCUGUAUGUCUGUAUGCAGGCACUGCCGCAACAAGGACGAGAAGGACUUCGUCGGUAAUGAACGCCUCUUCUGCGACUUUUGCCUCGAGGAGGACGAGAAGAAUCCCCUGAAGGCACGCACGACACAACCUAUGACCUCUCUUCAAUCUGCAUUUCUUCAUCUCACUUCUUGUUCUUGCGGCAUCAAGAAACACCUCGGCUCUUGGCAACUUGCACCUCCCUGGUGUCUCAUCUCAUCUUCUUGGGAUUACGCAGUGGGUCAAGAAACUGGCAAGCUCCGACUUCCGGGAGCUAUGCGAGGCCUACUACUUCUGCGCCGCCUCCACAGAAGGCUUCUGCGAGCGUUGCUGCCCCGUGUCCACCUGCCAUGGGCACAAUGACCACGAUAACAUAUUCCAGGUUCGUCUCUUGAACCAUCGAUCGGUUUCCACUUCGUGGAGAAUUGAAGAACUUCUUGAUCACUUCCUAAUAUGUCAUUGCGGUUCUUGCGGGUCAGGUCAUGCACCCGGGGGAACUGCUCCUUGUCAGACUGGGGGACGUUAACAAGUUCUAUGACUGCACUGACAUCCAGGUGAGCAUGUGCAGUUUGCUCAAGAACGUUUUCUUGGUGACAUCGUCGCCUCUAAGCUUUGUUGUUUCUGUGCAGCCAGACAUUCCAGGGUCGGUGCUCAUUCAUCCCAGGCCGGAGCCGCUGCUCGGUGGGGAUAAGUCGUGCGGCUACAGAGAUUGCCACCACGAGGUCGCCGAACCAUACACUUUCUGCUCUAUCUGCUGCAAAGUAGGUGAUACUAAUCCUAUCCAUCGAGGUCAUUCGUAGCCUUCUUGACUUGCAUGGUUCUUGGUUUCUUGAUCCACCUCAACGGAAAUUGUUCACGGCAGCACAAGGAGAACCCGUAUAGCAAUUGGAUGUGGCGGGUGCAAGGACUCUUGAAGCGUCCAUUCAUACCCAGACACCGAUGGAACAGAUUCUGCCUGGAAUGCCAUGCCCCAUUCGGUUAUCAAGUGUGUGAGCAUCACGGCAAUCACUUUACUGUCGCGGUCAUAGAAAGUGAAGGCGGUCUUGUCGUACGGUUCCCAGCAGGCAUCGGCUCGGAGUGGUCCAAUACCAGGUGGCUUGACUGCUUGGGUGCCGUUCAGGUCAGUGAUUUCCCCAAUAAAAGUUGUCAGUGGAGUUACUGUAUACAUCCCUACAACCUCUAACGGUGGGAGUAUUGACGCUCUCUCCAUGCUAUUGCAUAAUCUUCUAUAUGUCCAUGCAUUAUCCAUCUUUGCCAAACCUUGCAGAGCACUAGGAAGGACAUGGAUGGUGGGGUGCUAGUGCUAGUAGACUUCAUAGUUGACGUGCCGUUGACGCGGCCGAAGCAGUUGAAUUCAGAGCGAUGGCCCAAGUCUUGUAGUGAGUGCGACAAUGGUAUCAACGAGGAUAAGGAGUAUUGCUCAAUUCAGUGCAUGGUUAGACAUCACCUCCUUGAUCUCAUUUUUAUUCUCCUCAUUUGUAUGCCUUAGUUUGCUUAAUUAAUGGGUGAAACGCUGGUUGAACUUUCUCUGAAAAUGCAGGCUAGUAAGCUUCCAGGUGAUUAGUGAAGGGAAAUGGAUCAAGUGUUGCAAAACCAAAAUGGGGGCGUUGACAGACAUGAUUUUUCUUGAUAGAUGCAGUUCAUGUGGAUAAUUUUCCUUUAUAUUCUUUUAUUCUUCAUCUUCACUGUCCAUGUGGAAAAGUGAAUGAUGUGUCGACUGAAGUGAUACCUACAAAACUUUGCAUAAAUACUGAGUUACUGGUUCCAGCAGGAAUGUAGUUACCUGCUGCAAUAUCCUCCCUCUACAAGGCUGUACAAUUCACUUAGCAAUUAUCCGUUUAUGAACAACUGUGUUAGUUUUUAGUAUCUACUUUGUGAGAAAAUCAGGCCAAUCUUUACUAUAUUUUUAUUGGCAUACUUGAGAUGUAUGUGAUUGUUUCCAGUAUGAUCGUGUAAAUGUUGUUGUUAUUGAACUUGUUUAUUAAAACAUGAUUGGAGGUUGCAAGUAUACAUGGCUCUUGCUUCGUCAAAAAUCACUGGAAUUCUGAAAAUUACAAGCUAGCAUGAAACAGUACUACUUUAGCUUGAUCGGUAACCAUAAAGCUUUCGACUGAUUGUUUACAAGCUUCCAGAAAAUUCAGAGGUAGGUCUUCUGAAAAUAAAGGCUACGUUCAGAAAAGUUGAGCUUCCAACAAAUGUUAUGGAUGAACUUUCAUUUUUUUUGUUCUGAUGAACGACAACUAUUGGAAAACUAGGAUUCCUGCUGUAUUUCUUUUGGUAUUUGUUCAGAAGGUAGAUCAUGCUUCCUACCUGUGUGAACAUGUUCAUGUUAGGUACUUAGAUCUCUGGCCGCAAAGGAUUGAUCGGGUCUGGCUGAUCUAGCUACUGCUACUCGAUGAUCAAUCUGUCUGUUCCUCUUUCUUUCUUUCUUUCUUUCUUUCUUUCUUUCUUUUUGCGACUGAAAUGUGUUAGGAUGAUCUCCUCCCGAGUGGGCCGUUAGGCCCACCGGCCCCUUAGAUCUACAACGUCCUGAUCGGGGGCGCCCAAUCCACUAUGGUUGGCGGGCCCCUGUUACACUGCGCAAUAUAAAGAGGUGGGGGCCGGCGACACGCAACACAAGGUUCGUCGUUGUGCCACACACCCCACCAAACACCCCCUACCGAUCUAGGGUUCCGCGCAGGAGUAACGGGAAGCGCCGCCACCGGACGUCACUUCCUCGCCGCCGCUCGCCGUCAUGUCGUCCAAUGCCGCAUCGUCAAGCCAGGUAGAAGGUACUCUUCCCCUUCCGUCUCUCUCUCUCUUUCUUCCUGUUCUCGUCCCGAAUCCAUUACUUGAACAAAGAAACCCUAUCCCUACCCCGAUUGAUCUACACCUAGUUGUUCCUAGAGAUGUAACAAAAUGCACAUGUUCCUUUGCUACCUGUUGUUCAUGUUCUCGGCAAUUCUCUAUACCCUCCGUUCCUAAAUUCUUGUUGUGGUUUUAGUUCAAAAGAAUUUAAGAAGGGAGUAACAGCUCGUUUGGCAUCCAUGAAUUGGGCCGAGAAUCGUGGAAUUCAUUUCGCAAUUCCGGACCAAACAAGUCUGGCAGCCACAGAAUUGGGCCUUGGAAUUCAAUCACUGAUUCCAGGGAAUCCUGCGAUACCUAAAUCCAAUUCCCCUCUCGAGGCCGUCAUUCUUCCGGAUUUCAUGUUGCUCUCUCCCCCGACCCAGCUCCUUCCUCUCCCCCGACCGUUCUCCUCACCCUCCCUGCCACCGCCAUGGUGCUCGUCCUCCCUGCCGCCGGUGACCCUUGCUGCUGCCAGUGAAUGGAAUCAUCUCCGCCCCCUUUCCCGCCUCCCGCCUCCCUACUCUUCCAGUCCUCUUCUCCAUACAUCCCUUCCCCCUCGAGCUCCUAUUGCCGCCUGCUUGAUUCCGUCCCGCCUCCAGUGAUCUCCGUUGUGGAUCUAACCUCAUCCGUAGGUAAGUCUCCUCCUCCACCUCUCCUCUCCUCCAAUGCCUCUGUAUCUCUUAUUCAUCUCAGAACCCUAACCCUAAUCAACCACGCAUGCAGCCGCAAGUCGGGGUCCUCCCCUUUGAUCAACCUGCAACUACGGCGACGCGCAAGGCAACCUCCAGGGCGAAGGCAAGGUGACUUCCUCUUUGCUGGCCAUGUCCUUCGACGUUCUCUCCUGUAAGUUCUCCUCUUUGUUUGUGAGGUGUCAGUGAGAUUUUUUUUUCUUUUUUUGGUAACAAAUUCUUGCCUUGUUGGUGAGUUCAAUGGUUCCUUUCUCAAGUAUAGAUGUGAAACAUACAGUUGGUGGAUGAGUUUGCCUCACCAAAUUUAGAAAACUGAUGGUACAACAGACUUGUGAUUUUUUUUCUUGUUAUUCCAGUGGAAUUUCUCACUUAUAGCAGU
rnacentral:lncRNA from 1 species